CCUUGAAAUCAGCUCAGGUGCUAUGUAUCCUAUGGUUCCUCUUGUGGCACUGAUGGACACAAAAUCAUUUUCCUUGGGAUGAAACUUUGCAAGGCCGAAAUCUGAGACCUUUGGGAUGAAAUUAUGAUCUAGCAGGAUGUUGUGAGGCUUAAUGUCGAGAUGAAGAAUGCAGACAUCACAUCCGUUGUGUAAAUACUCGAUCCCACGGGCAGUUCCUAAAGCAACUUCAUGGAGUUUCUCCCAACAAAAAGAUUGGCCUCUACUCUCCUUGGGAAAGAUAUGCCUAUCGAGUGAUCCAUUAGGCAUAAACUCGUAGACAAGUGCGCGUUUGGAUCCCUCAGAACAGAACCCCAAUAACUGGACCACAUUAACGUGGUGAAUUCUACCUAUUGUUGAAACUUCGUUGAUGAAUUCCUCCGCACUGAACUUGGAGUUCUCCAGCAUCUUAACAGCAAUCAAGCGACCGGUAUGAAGCGAGAAAGACUAUUGGAGCAAGAAUAAAUCUACCAAUUAUCGGAACAUCAACUAGAAAACUUAUCCCAUUUCCCAUGGAAGGCCAAAAGAUUGCUAGGUAAAUUACUCUGUAAACUGCAAUUGGAGAGAAGGGGGAAAAAUUAAAUAAGCUUUAUACCUAAUCAGAGAGAUGAUUCAGAAAAAAAUUAUACAGUAAAAGAUUAGAGAAUAUAUGAAGCCGUCGCAUUUAUUAACGUCGAAAACACAUGAUCAAAAAGAUAUAUAAGGAUAUGCUUACGCAUAUAACAUGGGUAGCAAAUAAUUUUUGCCACUACUCCUUCAUUGUAUCUGAAGUUGCAAUCUGUUGCAAAAGUGAAAAGAAACAGAAAUUAAGGGUCACAUCGGUAUGCUCUUAGAUAUAGUUCACAAAUUCUUUAUUACGUACAAUAUUGAGAAACAAAAAACAAAUCGCUUGCAUUUGAAGGCAUAAAUAAACAUAAGCAUAGGCUUACACUCAGUAAAUGAGUUGUCCCUGCACUCAUCUAACCGUUUAAGAUCGAACCCUGACUCCAGCGAUUUUCGGAGGUCUUCAUAAGAAGGAUUGUCCACACUCCUAUUAAGUACUACAGGAACCUUUGAAAUAAAGACGCAUGAGUCUGGAAGAUCUGAUAUUCUGGCGUUGGUGACACCAUAUCCAACAUGUCCAACAUAAACAUAGACAUUCGACUGAUUGUUACUCAAACAUGGAACUUUCGUAUACGCCUGAUCAACAAUAUUACUUGAGCAAUUCACGUAAUGGGCGUAUGAUUUAAGAAUGUAACCGUUAAUAUGUCGGAAAAAGUAAGGAUAUGGGGAAAAAGAUUUGUACGGGAGGCCGCAGCUUCCAUUGGCUAGGUUAACAUCAGCAACACUGAUUGUACAUUUAUCAUGGGAAAUUCUCUUUACAUAGUACCUUGCAGAAUUGGACAAUUCUAAGAUGGUUUUGUUGUUCUCGCAAGAAAGUUCUAACUCCGGAUGACCGCAUCCAGCUGGAUCGCCCUUGAGGCGAAAAGGGUAGCUUAUGUUUCUGACAUCUCCACAAGAAGAAGAACACAUUUGUACUCCAAGUUUUCUUGCUUCAAUUUCACUGGUGCUGAAUACAAACAUCAACAGACAAAACAGAAAAGUUGAGAAAAUUGAAGCUUCUUCACUACUCAUUGCUCCUCCAAUUGCAGGAUACAAUUAACGAAUUUGAAUAAACUAAGCAGAACGGUAUAAAAGUGUUCAUUCGCUACGUUUUCUACAGUUUCACUUGCGCGGUGAGAGGCGGGCUUUAAACUUAUUAUAGUUUAGUAUACAACUAUGCGAUUGAAUUACUUAGCACUAAAUAAUUUGUUUUAAAAAUAAUAUUAAUUAUUCAUAAAAUGAAAUCGACACGAUGGAAGAAAAUUUUUAAUUACUGAGUGCUAGGCUUGUAGCAUUACUGCAAUGGGGACAAAUUUAGAUAAACAUGUUCAAUUUCGUUUCUUACUGUAAAUUUUUUAUGCGGAUGCCACGAAGCUUCUGGAGUCUCUUUCCACGAUUUGUUUAAGUGGAAGCUUUCAGAUUCCAAUGGGGAAGUCCAUACGGCAAGGAGAAGUCGCUUAAUUUCCUGGUAAUUGUAAAUGAGUUAGCAUCGGUGGGAAUGGGAUGAUCCAUCCCCAUCCUAGCUUGACCUCAAAUUUCUUGGUAAACGUUCUUCAACAUUAAAAGCGAUGGAACUUAUUGGAAACAGUUUCAAUGCAGUCCAAUUCCAGUUAAUAUCUUUCGCUUUCUUAAUUUCUCACCACCAAACACACUGGCGUACCCCACCUUUUUUUUUUUUUUUUCCUGACAGGAUUUGGAGAAACGCGGCAUUGGAAAUUUGGAGAGGGCCCGACGACCAACACUUUUAAAGCGACCAACAUGCAGAAGAAUGAGGACCUCUCAUGUCAUGUCACAAGUUUCUAAAAAUUAUGGUUGCUGUUGUAAUUAUUGUUAUUAUUAUUAUGAAUAAAGGAAGAUAUGUACAUUUAGAAUUAUGAUUAGGUACCCAGAGUUGAGUAAUAUAAUGCAUGAUAAGUUUUUAUUGGUGGAGUUGUGUUGUAGGCCCCACAACUCCACUAAUUGAAACACGUCAGGUGUGCGUGAUAGGCGUAUACGCCAUACAAUGCAUUAGUAUUUUUAUUAACUUUUUUUUAAAUAACUAAUAUACAGUAUAUUAGUAAAUUCACAUUUUAAAAGAUGUGGAAAUCCACACAUGAUAUAAUAUAUAUAUAUAUAUAUAUAUAUAUAUAUAUAUCUGCCUGAUAUAUAUAUAUAUAUAUAUAUCAAGAAUUUUAAAGUACGGAAAAGUCUGAAAAAAUUUUAAAACCGCACAGUUUUAAAUGUUUAUAGUUUUAAAGAUUUUUCAGACCUUCCCGCACUUUAAAAUCCUGAAUUGGAACAUUUAUGUAUAUAUAUAUGGAUAUGAGUCUAUCCUUGCGCAUUAGUUAUUUUUUGGGCGUUUUAAUGAUUUUGAUUUCAAAUGCCCAAUAUGAGCUGGGCUUCACAUUGAGACCACCAAAAUCCUAAAAGAAGUAUAAACCGUUAGACUGUAAUAAUGGAAACAAGUAAAUAUAUCAAAAAAUGAUAUUGGAAAAUUAAUGGUCGAAUACAUAGUUUGAUCAUAAGAUAUGACAACAAAUAAUAGAUUAUUAGAAUAACAAAAGGAUGUUAUUAAUAAUUUAUUUUUUUUAUCAUAUACGACGUUCAUUAAUCUCAAGUAGAUUAGAGUAGAAAUGAUAUAAUUUAUGACUAAAAUUUAGAUCAAUUUAUAUGUUAUUCAUCACACACAGUAUAUGAAUGAAAAAAGUUAGACCACCGAUGUAAUACUAGUUAGGCGCAAAGGGAACAAAAAAUCAAUGUGUUUUGAUAUUUCCACUUAAGUUACACACAACAAAUUCGAGCUAAGGAUACUUGAAUCUUAUGCUUGGUGCAACAUUUUGGUGUGUCUUUGUAAGCUAAUUUUUCAUGUGAUUUUUAAAACUCUCCAUUUCCGAUUCAAGAUUGGUUCUAUGAGUAGACUUCGUUGCCGUCAAGAGUCAAAAGUGUCACUACGAUAUUUUAUGAAGGCAAAUCACUUCUGCAUAGAUUUCCUCUCCAUCAAAUGUUUUCGUAUUAAUUUUGUGACAUUGUAACCAGUUCUGUUGUGUUUCAUGUGGUAUGUAUCACUGCCAUAAAUUGCUUUAAUGAAAUAAUCACUUAUUUCAAAUGUCGCAGCUGCAUUAGUAUAAUGUAUGUAUUGAUGUAAAAUUUGGUCAUGUUGUAUGCCACUUGUUUUUAAUGUCUGUCAUGUCGAAUUCAAAUCCAUAAAAUAAAUAUUGAUCAAAUGGUUAACUUGGCAGUCGAUAUAGGAAUAGUAGUCUCAUUGAAAAUGUACUAAAAAAACAAUAUAAUAACAUAUCUAUUGCAAAAGGCGAGCAAGAAAAGGAGGGAAAGUAAUGUAGACUGGAUUUAUCUCCAGCCUAAAAGGGGGAAGCACUUCAUAAAUUAAUGCGUUUAAGCCUGCAACCAUUUAUCUGGCAUACAAAGUCAUGCUACUGUAAACAAUUUAUCAAGCACUUUAAUGUCGUGCUGCUAUGGAUAUGCACGCUUCGAUGGCCAUUUCGCAGCUAUUUAUUAUUGUGGAGACAAAAGCGUAUCGAUUGGUGAUUUUUUUUCCUUAUUAAUAUUUGGUGCAUGUUUUGUUCUGAUUGAAGUAGAGGGCCCUAAUUUUCUGAAAUUUUGUUGACAGAAGAUAGAGAGCGCAUAAAUUAAAAUGCCAUUAAGCAAACGCAUUUUAAAUCUUUGUGCUCUCUGUAUUCUGUCAUCAACGUGCAGCUUCAUUUGGCCUUCAAAACUGUAGUGAUCUACUGAUCUUCUUCCAAGUGCUAUUUGUUAAUUUUCAUUUUAUUAUUAUUUUAUUUGUUCAUAUAUACACACACACACACACAGAGAUACACAGACACACACAUACAUACAUAUACAAUUAUACUCCUAAUAUAAUUAUAACUUUAUAAGUUAUGUAUACACAACUAAACCCAGUGUAUAUAUAUCCUCCAUGUAUGCGUAUCUAUAUUGUGAAAUGAGGCAAUUGGCGGCAUUCAAAAUGAAACCCCGCUUGAGGAGUUGAGAGAGAUUCAGAAUGGGGACUGCUCCUGUGAGCUGCUUUAUCACGGACGCUUUGGGCUUUUCAGAGGAGCAGAAUUAAAAGCCCACUAAUGACUUGGGCUAUUCUUGGAGGCAACCGCAGUCCAUAAAGAAGCAUAAAGCCAUGAACUGUUCCGUUGUUUUGUUCAUUUUUUUCCUUCUAGUCUGAUUCACUUCCGAAGUAGCUGUUGAGAAACUUAAAGAUGAAUAUAAUAUCAUGGACUUUAAUUCUUAAAUUUAACAAAUAUGAGAGUACAUUUUAAAAAAAUUGUAAAAACGUUGUAAGAAAGUAAAAUUUUGAAACAAGCAUGUGAUUAAAACAUAAAUGAAUCCCAACUUUAUUUUGGUUUUAAAGGAAAAAAAAAAAGCACCAUCAAAAAUAAAAUAUUCCUAAAUUUUAGUUGAGGGCAUGAUACGAGAACAUAUAUAAAUACAAGAAGAAUGUGAGAGAUAAUAUUAAGAUUUUUAUAUUUUAAAAUAAUAAAUUUCGUUCAUCUCAAUUUUCAAGUACAUAAUAGAAGUACAAUAGUAGGUCCUCAACUAAUAUGACAAAUUGAAAAAAGUCAUCUAUAAUUGUAUUAAUGUUGUGUCAGUCGAACACAUCAAAGAUUUUAAGUGAUUGAUAAAACAACUACAAUAGAAUAAAAACUCAAUAUACUGGUUUUCAAGUGUUCCAAUAACAAGGAGGACUAAAUAAUUUUUCUUAUAAUCGGGGAAAUUUUGAAACAAAUUAACAAUAUAUCUUUUAAAUUGUAAUCUUCUAUUAUCUAGAUCAAUUGAUUGCACCUGUCUCAACAUCAGAAGAGACAAAGGGCAUUGGAGGGAUCUCCAAGCUUUGAAAAUCAGCUUCAAGCAUUUGUAAUACCAUUGGCAUGGAAGGUCUCUCCGUGGGAUUCCAUUGAAUGCACCAAAGUGCCACAAUUGCAAGCUUUCUGGCAAUUCCCUCAUCCCCAUCUUCCUCAAAUUCCAAACAGAGCUCUUGUCCUUGCCUCAUUCUAUUGUAAAUCCACUCCGGAAAAUAUAUUUGGCUCUGAAUUUCAACCGCAGGAUCAUUAUUUUUUCUGCAUCCGACCAUCUCUAACAGCAUCAUUCCGUAACUGUAAACAUCAGACUUGUAAGAGAUCUCACCAAAAUUCCUGGAGAAAAGUUCAGGUGCAAUGUAGCCAGAAGUGCCUCUGGCAGCUGUCAGAGAUACAAUGCUUAUGUCCUUUGAGCACAACUUAGCCAGUCCAAAAUCUGAAAUCUUCGGUUGAAAAUUAUGGUCUAAUAAUAUAUUGUGAGGCUUGAUAUCGAAGUGCAGGAUCCUCUGGUUGCAUCCUUGGUGCAAGUACUCCACUCCACGGGCAACGCCAAAUGCAAUCUUCCUCAGCUUCUCCCAACUCAAUUGACGGUGACUUGAGCUAUUUGUCUUUGAGAAGAUGAAUUUCUCAAGUGAUCCAUUGGGCAUAAACUCGUAAAUAAGAGCGCGACGAUUCCCUUCAGAGCAAAAUCCCAGAAGCCGAACAAUGUGAAAGUGGUGAAUCCUGCCAAUUGUGGCCACUUCAUUGAUGAACUCUUGUCCAUUUCCUUUUAAAUGUUCCAACAUCUUGACAGCAACUGGAAUUCCGUUGAAGAGUUUUCCUCUGAACACACUUCCAUAACCUCCCUGGCCGAGCCUGUGCUUAAAUCUGCUUGUUAUUUUCUUCAGUUCUUUGUAAGUAUAUCUGGUGGGAUUGACGGUCCUGUAGUUUUCGAGGAACUUCUCCACCUUCAGUUGAGUCUCUUUUUCUUUUUCAGAUUCUCUUGAUCUGUAAAUGAGAAAUAUCACUAAUGCAAAGAGGGUGAUGCCUCCAAUGCUUGUGCCUGUGGAUAUUAGACUUAUUGAUAAAGGGCCAGGACCAUCUGUUAUAUAUAACUAAGAAAAGUUAGUUAAAAAAUUAACUCAAACAAUAAAAUGAGAUGCUAAAAGUCUGGACCCGUGCAAGCUUAACUUGGUAGCAUAAAGACUCUAAUAUCAUUUGAUUGGGUUUUAACAAGUCCCUCUCAUGUGACCAUCUCAUAUAUAGGUAUUUUUUCAUAACUUAAACUAUAAUUAGGUAUCUUAUUCAUAUGGGUGGAUAGAUAAUUAAUUUUUCAUUUAACUAAAUAAAGAAAAAAUAAUAAUAAGCAAAAGGAUGAAAUUAUUUGAACUGCAAAGUAAGCACUCUUUUACCUUACACACUUUAAUUUUAAAAUUUUAACUUUUACUUGAGUACACAAUGAAAACACCAAAAUUAUCACAAUUAGAAAUCUCUGUCUUUAUGUUUUUUUUUUUCCCUUUCUGCAUUCACAAAAUGAUUUUUUUCCCCUCAUCUCUUAUUCCAUGUGAAUAUUGAGGGUUACUUGAUUGAACAAAUUUUUUUCUCAAUAAAUUUUCCAUCAUGAACUUAAUCAUAGAGAAAAAGUAUUAGUAUAAUAAUUCUUCUUAAUUUGUGUUCAUUGAGUACGCAAGAAAAUAUAAUAGGUUAAACUUUUAUCAGGCAUUGUGAGUUUAAUCAAUCUCUCACCAUUUACGAAAAUUAAUUGUAAUAUAAAGAUUCAAAGAUUAAAUUGACGAGAUAGAGAAAAUUAGUAUUAUGUAUUUGGUCCUGAGUAGUAUCAAUUUUUCUUCAAACAGUCAAAUCAGCCUGGCUAGCAACAUUUUAUUAACCAAUCUACAACUGGCACGAAUACCAGAAAGCAGCCUUUAAUAGCAAUGAUAUUCGCCAUACAGAUUAGGGGUAGGUAAAAUUAUAUUUGCCGCCAAAAAAAUGAAUCGUUAGUCUUUUUUUUUUUUGGUUAAAAAAAAAUCCAUCGAUUUAUAUGAGAGAAAAUAAAAAGCCAAAAAAACUAGAAAAACGCAAAAGAAAUUACAGGUCAAAGGGAAAAAAAAAAGCCUAACUAAAUCGAACCAAAUUGAUUGGAUUUUCAAUUCAGUUCAAAUUGUUAAUUUUUUGAAAAACUCACCAUCGGAAUUCAACUAAAUCUAACCAAAAGUGAAAUAUAGAUGGCUUCUUUAAUUUUUAACUUCUAGCAAUUGUAAUUACACUUUUACAAUUGAAAAAAUAAUGCAAAGCCUAAUUAUUAUUAUUUUUUCUUUUCAUUUACACUGCUCUGAUAAAUUUUCCGGCAUAUAUAACAAUGAUAAUAAAUUCAACUUAUUAUUUUUAUUGUUAGCUAAAUAGAGACGAUGCUUUCACUUUCAAGCACUGUAGAGAGAGGUGACUGAGAAAAGAUAUGGUUACUUACGUUUUUGGUGUUUAACGGCAACGCAGAUUGUCGAAUUGCUUGUAGUGUUGAACCCACAAUAAUUCCCUGAAUUUUCGCAGUCGUAGCAUCCAUCAAGAGCUUCCCAUGUUAAGACUACUGGAGUUGCCUUCGCCGUCGUAGCAAUAUCCUGAAGAGGUAAUCCGGCGGGAAUCUCAACUGUUCGAGAUUUUCUACAAUAUGGAGGCAUAUCAUCCAUUGAAGAUUCGCUAUCUAUGGUAUAGACAAGAUUGUUUUCAUUGCUAAGACAAUUGAUCGGUCCAAUUAGUUCAAAUACAGACCGUUCUGCAGCAGCCUUCUCAGUGCAGUUAUAUAAAGCGUAACUUUCAGUAAAGAAUUUGGAGUGUGUGAGGUUGAAAGAGAUAAGACUUUGAAACGGGCAUGCAGUCUCAUUCACAUCUGUAAUGUUAAUACUGCUGUCCAGAUAAGAAAUUUCAUGGACAUAAUAAUCACCAGAGGAAGGAAGAUGCCAGAUUGUCUUGUCACUUAAGCAUGACAAUUCAAACCCUUCAAGGCCACAAGAUAUUGGUUGAGUUUUGAGUCUGAAGGGAUAUCUGAUACUUGGGUUCCUAUUACUGCAAUUUGUUGGUUGACAGAAUUCAUAUUUAUCUGUCUUGUUGUCCUCUGCAGAAGCUUUGGCUAAUGUACAUGUGUAAGGUAAGAAGAGGAAGAGGAUUAUUAAACUCAUCACGAGGGACAUGGAGGGAGAGGGAGAGCGGAGUUUGAGUUAGAGCAGAGUUUGAGUUAUGCUUUUGGAGUAAUAAGGGAGAGGAGAGUUUGAUUGUCAAUUUGUCAUGGAAAAAGGUAGGAAAAUGGGUUUCUUUUAAUUUCUUCUGUUCUUUCCUUCUCUCUUUUCUCCUUUUUCUAAGUCAAUGGUAGCCCCAAAGAGACUAGUCAACUUCAGUAUCUGCCAAUAUCAGAUGCAUGGAGGAACAGGAUGGGACUUGCUGUUUGUGAUAUAGAUUUUAGUGAGAGUUAUGAAAGUAAUUUGUAGGUAGGAAAUGAGAAAAUUAUGUUUUUAAGAUCAAUAAGUAAUGUUCUUUAGAAAACCGGUAAUUCCUAGCAGCUACCCUCCGCUUACCAUGAUAUAUCAGUGUGAGACUAAGGGUAUGUUUAGGGUUGAUGGGAACUAUGUGUCUUUUAAUUCACCACUGUUGUGGGAUUGAAUUAUUAGCUAUUAAGCAAAAGUGGAUGUGUGGUGAUAUUUAGGUGUCUCCCAUAUACUUUGGUAAUUGUACUUUAAAUUAAGUUGAGGAGGAGCACAGAGUUCAAAGCAUACUCUAGCUCAAUCAGAUAUGCAGCAAGCAGCGUUGCAAAAGGUUGAUGAAUGUACAUGAUCACGUGACAAACCUACAUCAUAUUCUGGUCGAUAUGAGCAAAAUUGGAAUCUUCACAUCAAACAAUGAAUCGUACUGAAAUUUUUCAACAUAAUGUUUUAGAAGCUCUGGUAGCAUAAGGACAAUUUAUUUCUUUUUUACACAUAUCAUUGCCAAAAUUAAGCAUAACUAUCAUUGAAAGAACAUUCCUCAGUCCAUUCAGACACUAAGAACUCUGUUGAAGAAUCUGAUUCAAUCUCUCUUCCGGAGAUAUGUCGAGAAGAAGAGAAGCAAGGUUUAGGAGGCAUUUGCAAAUCGUCCAUACUCCCUUCUAACAUUUCCAAAACUUUUGUCAUGGAGGGGCGAUCAGCUGCCUUCACCUGAAUACACCAUAAACCAAUCAUACACAGUUUCCUUGCAAUCACGGACUCAAUUUCAGUCACAUUCCGAAGCUCUAAAUCACCUCCCUUAUUUAAUUGGUCAUAUACCCAAGAUGGGAAAUAUGCUUUGCUUGAACGAAUUGCGUUCAUAUUAGAAUUCCUUCUUCCUCCAGCCAUUUCCAGCAACACCAUCCCAAAACCGUAAACAUCUGACUUGCAAGAAACAGUUCCAAAAUUUCUUGAAAUCAGCUCCGGUGCUAUGUAUCCUAUGGUUCCUCUUGUGGCACUGAUGGACACAAAAUCAUUUUCCUUGGGAUGAAACUUUGCAAGGCCGAAAUCUGAGACCUUUGGGAUGAAAUUAUGAUCUAGUAGGAUGUUGUGAGGCUUAAUGUCAAAAUGCAGAAUGCACAUAUCACAUCCGUUAUGUAAAUACGCGACCCCACGAGCUGUUCCUAAGGCAAUUUCCUGGAGUUUCUCCCAACCAAAAGUUUGGCCUUUAUUUUCCUUGGGAAAGAUAUGCCUGUCGAGUGAUCCAUUAGGCAUAAACUCGUAGACAAGUGCACGUUUGGAUCCCUCAGAACAGAACCCCAAUAACUGGACCACAUUAACGUGGUGAAUUCUACCUAUUGUUGAAACUUCGUUGAUGAAUUCCUCCGCACUGAACUUGGAGUUCUCCAGCAUCUUAACAGCAAUCAAGCGACCGGUAUGAAGUUGUCCUUUAUAAACUGAACCAAAGCCACCUUGGCCUAAUUUAUGAGUGAAGUGGUUUGUCACGGCAAUUAUCUCAGGGUAAGAGUACCUUUUAGGCAUCCACGAUUGCUGGUUGUGCAGAAAUUUCUCAAUAUUAUCAACUGUUUGCAAUGUCGUUCUCUAUUUGUGGAUAAGGAACACGAGAAAGACUAUUGGAGCAAGAAUAAAUCUACCAAUUAUCAGAACAUCAACUGGAAACCCUGGAAAAGAGAACGUUUAUUGAAAGUAAAUAGUAGUAAGCAAAGCAAUAAAAAGAGGAUCCUGGAGAGGAGAUUUUACCUAACAGAAAACUUAUCCAAACCCCCAGUCUUGAUUCUAUGUUACGGUAGGAACGCCGCGAGAUUUCAUGGAAAACUGCAGUUGGAGAUAGAAAAAAUUAAGCUUUAUAUCUAAUCAGAGAAAUGAUUCAGAAAAAAGUUAGAAAGUAAAAGAUUAGAGAGUACAUAAAGCCAUCACAUUUAUUAACAUCGAAAACCCAUAAGCAAAAUGAUAUGUAAGGAUCUGCUUACGUAUGUCAUCUUGGUAGCAAAUAAAUUUUCUGAUUAUUCCUCCAUAGUAAUCAUUGCAUUCUGGAAAGACUGCAAAAGUGAAAAAGAAACAGAAAUUAAAGGUCAUAUCGGUAUGCUCUUAGAGAUAGUUCACAAAUUCUUUAUUACGUAGAAUAUUGGAAAACAAAAACAAAGCCCUUGCAUUUGAAUGCAUAAAUAAAUAUAAGCAUAAGCUUACAGUGAGUCAUUGGGAGGCUCCAGCUCCAAUCUGACCAUGUAAGAUCGAACCCUGACUCCAGCAAUUUUCGGAGGUCUUCAUAAGAAGGUUUGUCCACGCUCCCAUUAAGUACUACAGGAACCUUUGUAAUGAAGGCGCAUGAGUCUGGAAGAUGUGUGGUUUCGAUGAAAUCAGGUGCAACAUAAACAUAGACAUUCGACUGAUUGUUACUCAAACAUGGAACUUUCGCAUACGCCUGAUCAACAAUAUUACUCGAGCAAUUCACGUAAUAGGCGUAUGAAUUAAGAUUGUAAUCAAAAUAAUAUCUGAAAAUUAAACCAGGUGGGGAAAAAGAAGUGGAUGGGAAGCUGCAGCUUCCAUAGGCUAAGUUAGCAUCGACAACACUGAUUGUACUCUUAUCAUAGGAAAUUCUCUUCACAUAGUACUUUCCAGAAUUGGAUUCUAAGAUGGUUUUGUUGCUCUCGCAAGAAAGUUCUAACUCCGGAUGACCGCAUCCAGCUGGAUCGCCCUUGAGGUGAAGAGGGUAGCUUAUGUUUUUGCCAUCUCCACAAGAAGAAGAACACUUUUCUACUUCAAGUUUUCUUGCUUCAAUUUCACUGGUGCUGAAUACAAACAUCAACAGACAAAACAGAAAAGUUGAGAAAAUUGAAGCUUCUUCACUACUCAUUGCUCCUCCAAUUGCAGGACACAAAUAACGAAUUUGAAUCAACUAAGCAGAACGGUGUAUAAGUGUUAAUGCACUACGUUUUCUACCGUUUCAUUUGCACGGUGAGAGGCGAGCUUUAAACUUAUCAUAGUUUAGUAUACAACUAUGUGAUUGAAUUAAUUAGCACUGUUGUGUGUGAAAGCAAAUCCAGAAAGCCCAAACGACAGAAGACCUUGCGUUUGAAGCUGAAAUCACUUAAGCCAAACGACAGAGAUACGUGCGUUUUGAUGAGCAAAUUAAACGCUCCUCAGAACGACAUACAAGCUUGCCGUUUAGCUUUAAGUAACGCAUGCGAACAUCACGUGCUUGUAUCCAGCUCACAAGGUUCGUUAAAAUGCCGUUAAAGCACGAGGAACUCACGUGAGUUGCUGGGUAAUUCUGGGUUCAUUAUGAAGCUGUUAUGAAGCAGCUGAUUCUGGUGCAAGAGAUUCAAGAGUGUAGAGAGCUGUAGAGAGAGAUAGGGCUGGAAUAAAUAAGCAGUCCAGAUCUUGUAUUAAGGCUCAUAGCAUUGCUCUGUAAAUCAUCUUGAGAAUCAAUGAAAGCUGGUCAUAUUUGCCCUCCCGUGGAUGUAAGCUAGAGAGAUCUAGCUGAACCACGUUAAACCUUUCUUGUUCCUUGCUCUUUCUAAUUCUUCUGUUUUCUUAAUUCUGUUUGGUUGAUCAUCAUCACUUCCAUUAAUUCAACUUAGUUAGAUUCUGUAGUAAUCAAUCUUGAAGCAUCUUGGUGAAUUUGGUUUGCGAUCUUUGGCAGGAUCUAAGGUUGCUUGGUCUGUUUAUAGCAUCUUAGGUUCUACAAGCACCAAAAUAAUUUGUUUAAAAAUAAUAUUAAUUAUUCAUAAAAAUGAAAUCGACACGAUGGAAGAAAAUUUUUAAUUACUCAGCGCUGGGCUUUUAGCAUUAAUGCAAUGGAAGAUAAAGGGACAAAUUUGGAUAAACAUGUUCAAUUUCGUUUCUUACGGCAAAUUUUUCAUGCGGAUGCCAGGAAGCUUCUGAAGAGGUGUAAGCUUUCAAAUUUCAAUGGGGAAGUCCAUACGGCAAAGUGAAGUCACUUAAUUUCCUGGUAAUUGUAAAUGAGUUAGCAUCGGUGGGAAUGGGAUGAUCCGUCCCCAUCCUAGCUUGACCUCAAGUUUCUAAGUAAAUGUUCUUCAAUAUUAAAAGCGAUAGAACUUAUUGGAAACAUUUUCCAUACAUGUUGUCCAAUUCCAGUAAAUAUCUUUUGCUUUCUUAAUUUUUCUCACCACCAAACGCAAUGGCUUACUUUAUUUAUUUAUUUACUUUAACAGGAUUUGGAGAAACGCGGCAUUGGAAAUUUGGAACGGCCCCCGACGACCAACACCUUUAAAGUGACCGACAUGCAGAAGAAUGAGGACUUCUCAUCUCAUGUCAUGUUCACGCGUUUCUAAAAAUUAUGGUUUGCUGUUGUAAUUAUUAUUAUUAUUAUCAUUACUACUACUACUUUGAAUAAAAAAAUUUAUUUAUAUUUAAAAUUAAGUUAAAUUCCGUCAUGUCCCUAAAUAUUUCAACAUUUUCCACCGCGUCCCCAAAUCUUUCAAUAAUUUCCACGCCACACUCAAAUCUAUUAAUUUGACCGUUUAUUCUAAUGGUCAAAGGAAAAAUUUAGAAGUUCAUGCCCUAAAUAUUAUUUGAUGAUAAUAGAUUAAAUUUAUUUGAUAAAUUAAUUGAUGGGAUUAUUAUUAAUUACCUUUAAUUAAGAAUUUUUAUCUCAUUUAAUUCUUCUCUAAUUCAAGAUAAGGGACGUUUAGGAUAUUUAACUAAAUUUCAAAUAACUCCGUUAAAAAUAACGGUCAAAUUAAUGGAAUUAGGUGUAAGGUGGAAAUUAUUAAAACAUUUGGGUGUGCGGUGGAAAAUAUCGAAACAUUUGCGGGCUGGGUGGAAAUAACGCGUAAAAUUACGAUCAGGUGCGCACAAUCGCACAAUAUAUAAUGCAUGAUAAGUUUUUAUAUUGUAGGCGUGUGUGGCGGCAUGUAUAUGCCAUAUAGUGCAUUAGUAUUUUUAUUAAUUUUUUCAAUUAACUAAUAUACAAUAUAUUUCUGUAGUGUAUUGAAAUCUAAAUUUUUUUUUAUCUUUUAUCUUAUCCCUUACUUUUGACAAAUCAAUUAUGUCAAAAAAGGCCAUGAGAAUAUGAGUUUAUCCUUGCGCAUUGGGGACUAUUUGGGCUUUUAAAUUAUUUAAAUUUCGAAUGCCUAAUGUGAGUUGGGUUUCAUAUUGAGACCACCAAAAUUCAGAAGAAAAAAAACAUAAAUCGUGAUUAUGGAAACAAGUAAAUAUAUCAAAUAAUGAUAUUGUAAAAUUAACGGUCAACUACAUAGUUUAAUCAGAGGAUGUGAUGGCAUAUAAUAGAUUAUUAGAAUAACAAAAGAGAUGAUAUUAAUAAAAAAAUUUUAUCAUAUACAACGUUCAUUAAUAUCAAGUAGAUUAGAGUACAAAUGGUAUAAUUUAUAACAAAACUUUAAAUCAAUUUAUAUGUUACUCAUCACACACAGGAUAUAGAUGGAAAAGUUAGACCAACGAUAUAAUACUAGUUAGGCCAAAGGGAAAAAAAUUCAACGUGUCUUGAUAUUUCCACUUAAGUUACACACAACAGAUUCGAGGUAAGGAUACUUGAAUCUUAUGCUUGGUGCAACAUUUUGAUAUGUCUUCGUAAGCUAAUUUUUCAUGUGAUUUUUAAAACUUUCCAUUUCCGAUUCAAGAUUGGUUCUGUGAGUACUGAGUAGACGUCUUUGCUCCUCCAAUUCCAGGACACAAUUAACGAAUUUGAAUAAACUAAGCAGAACGGUGUAUAAGUGUACAUGAACGUUGGCGCAUUCAAUGGAAUUGCCAAUUCCAACGGUGUAUAAGUGUACGUGAACCAAUUCCAGGACACAACUAACGAAUUUGAAUAAACUAAGCAGAACGGUGUAUAAGUGUUAAUGCGCUAUGUUUUCUGCAGUUUCACUUGCACGGUGAGAGGCGGGCUUUAAACUUAUCAUAGUUUAGUAUACAACUAUGUGAUUGAAUUAAUUAGCGCUAAAUAAUUUGUUUAAAAAAACUAUUAAUUAUUCAUCAAAUGAAAUCGACACGAUGGAAGAAAAUUUUUAAUUACUGAGUGCUGGGCUUCUAGCAUUAAUGCAAUGGAAGAUAAAGGGACAAAUCUAGAUAAACAUGUUCAAUUUCGUUUCUUACUGUAAAUUUUGUAUGCGGAUGCCGCGUAGCUUCUGAAGUCUCUUUCCACGAUUUGUUUAGGUGGAAGCUCUCAGAUUUCAAUGGGGAAGUCAAUACGGCAAAGUGAAGUCGCUUAAUUUCCCGGUAAUUGUAAAUGAGUUAGCAUCGGUGGGAAUGGGAUGAUCCAUCCAUCCCCAUCCUAGCUUGACCUCAAUUUUCUUAGUAAACGUUCUUCAAUAUUAAAAGCGACAUAACUUAUUGGAAACAGUUUCCAUGCAUGCAGUCCAAUUCCAAUCAAUAUCUUUCGCUUUCUUAAUUUUUCUCACCAAACGCAAUGGCUUACUUUAUUUAUUUAUUUAUUAAUUUUAACAGGAUUUGGAGAAACGCGGCAUUGGAAAUUUGGAACGCCCCCCGACGACCAACACUUUUAAAGCGACCGACACGCAGAAGAACGAGGACUUCUCAUGUCAAGUUCACGCGUUUCUAAAAAUUAUGGUUGCUGUUGUAAUUAUUAUUGUUACUAUUAUUAUUUUUAUGAAUUAAGAAAGAUAUAUAUAUAUAUAUAUAUGUAUGUAUGUAUUUAAAAUUAUGAUCAGAUGCAUCGCAAAAUAUAUAAUGUAUGAUAAGUUUUUAUGUUGUAGGCGUGUGUGACGGCACAUAUAUGCCAUUUAGUGCAUUAGUGUUUUUAUUAACUUUUUUCAAUUAACUAAUAUAUAAUAUAUUAGUAAAUUCAUGUUUUAAAAGAUGCAGAAUUCCACACAUGACAAAAUAUAUGUGUGUAUGUGUCUAUAUAUACAAACACUUUUGACAAAUCGGUUAUGUCAAAAAAGGCCAUGAGAAUAUGAGUCUAUCUUUGCGUAUUGGGGAUUAUUUAAGCUUUUUAAUGAUUUAAACUUUGAAUGCCCAAUAUGAGUUGGGCUUCAUAUUGAGAACCCCAAAGUAAAAAAAAAAAAAAACAUAAAUUGUUAGACUAUGAUUAUGGAAACAAGUAAAUAUAUCAAAUAAUGAUAUUGGAAAAUUAAUGGUCGAAUACAUAGUUUGAUCAUGGGAUAUGACAACAUAUAAUGAUAUUAAUAAUUUUUUUUAUCAUAUACGACGUUCAUUAAUCUCAAGUAGAUUAGAGUACAAAUGGUAUAAUUUUUGACUAAAAUUUAAAUCAAUUUAUAUGUUAUUCAUCACACACAGUAUAUAGAUAGAAAAAGUUAGACCACCGAUAAAAUACUAGUUAGGCGCAAAGAGAAAAAAAAAAUCAAUUUGUCAUGAUAUUUCCACUUAACUUACAUACUACAGAUUCGAGCUAAGGAUACUUGAAUCUUAUGCUUGGUGCAACAUUUUGAUGUGUCUUCGUAGGCUAAUUUUUCAUGUGAUUUUCAAAACUCUCCAUUUCCGAUUCAGGAUUGGUUUUAUGAGUAGCUCUCUUUGCCGUCAAGAGUCAAAGUGUCACCAUGAUAUUUUAUGAAGGCAAAUCACUUCCGCAGAGAUUUCCUCUCUGUCAAAUGUUUUCGUAUUAAUUUUGUGACAUUUUAACGAGUCCUGUUGUGUUUCAUGCGGCAUGUAGUUCUACUGUAAAUGGCUUUAAUGAAAUAGUCGCUCAUUUCAAAUGUCACAGACUCGCAGCUGCAUUAGUAUAAUGUAUAUAUUGAUUUAAAAUUUGGUCAUGUUGUAUGCCACUUGUUUUUAAUAUUUGUCAGGUCGAAUUCAAAUCCAUAAAAUAAAAUAUUGAUCAAAUGAUUAACUUAGUAGCCGAUAUGGCAAUAGCAGUCUCUUUGAAAAUGUGCUGCUAAAAAACACAAUAUAAUAACAUAUCUAUUGUAAAAGGCGGACAAGAAAAGGAGGGAAAGCAAUGUAGACUUGAUUUAUCUCCAGCUUAACAGGGGGAAGCACUUCAUAAAUUAAUGCUUUUAAGCCUGCAAACAUUUAACUAGCAUCAUGCAUACAAAUACCUUGCUACUGUAAACAAUUUAUCAAGUACUUCAAUUUCGUGCUGCUGUGGAUAUGCCUGCUUCCAAGGCUAUUCAGCUGCUAUUUAUUAUUGUGGAGACAAAAGCAUAUCGAUUGGUGAUUUUUUUUUCCUCUUUAAUAUUUGGUGCAUGUGUUUGUUCUGAUUGAAGUAGAGGGUGCUAAUUUUCUGAAAUUUUGUUGACAGAAGAUAAAGAGCACAUAAAUUAAAAUGUCAUUAACCAAACGCAUUUUAAAUCUUUGUGCUCUAUGUAUUCUGUCAUCAACGUGUAGCUUCAUUUGACCCUCAAAAUUGUAGUGAUCUACUGAUCUUCUACCAAGUGCUACUCGAUAAUUUUCGUAUGAUUAUUAUUUUGUUUGUUCACACACACACACACAUAUACAUAUAUACUUGUAGUAUAAUUAUAACUUUGUAAGUUAUGUAUACACAACUACACCCAGUGUAUAUAUAAUAUUAUAUAUAUCCUCCAUACAUGCAUAUGAGCAUAUCUAUAUUGUGAAAUGAGGCAAAUGGCGGCAUUAAAAGCCCACUAAUGACUUGGCAGAUUCAGAAUUGGGACUGCUCCUGUGACCUGCUUCAUCGUGGACGCUUUGGGCUUUUCAUAGGAGCAGAAUUAAAAAGCCCACUAAUGAAUUGGGCUAUUCUUGGAGGCAACCACAGUCCAUAAAGAAACAUAAAGCCAUGAACUGUUCCCUUUUUUGGUUUAUUUUUUUCCUUCUAGUCUGAUUCACUUCCAAAGUAGCUGUUUGACAAACUUAAAGAUGAAUAUAAUAUCAUGGACUUUAAUUCUUAAAUUUAACAAAUAUGAGAGCACAUUUAAAAAAAGAAUCAUAAGAACGUGGUAAGAAAGUAAAAUUUUGAAACAAGCAUGUGAUUAAUUAAAACAUAAAUGAAUCCUAACUUUAUUUUGGUCUUAAGGAAAAAAAAAUCAUCAUGAAAAAUGAAAGCUUCCUAAAUUUUAUUUGAGCGCAUGAUACGACAACAUAUACAAAUACAAGAAGAAUAUGAGAGAUAAUAUUAAGAUUUUUAUAUUUUAAAAAAAUAAAUUUCAUUCAUCUCAAUUCUCAAGUAGGUAAUAGAAAUACAGUAGUAGGUCCUCAACUAAUAUUCAGAUCAAUUUACACGCAACUCAUCAUAGUAGUUUAGAUGGACAGGUCAUUGAUAUUUUAUAACCCCCCACCUAUAACUUUCUUACAACGAAUUCAAAUUAGUGAUCAUUAAGAAUGUUUGAAUCGUACGUUCAGCGCAAUAUUUGAUGUGUUUUAAGUAAUUUAAAAAGAAAUUUAACGAAUAAAAUAUAUAAAAUAAGAUUUUAUUAGCUAUGCUAAGGCCAUCAAUAAUUUUUUUAUUUUUUAUUUUGUUUCUAGCCGAAACUUAUCCUUCGAGAUUUGGUUCUACAAGUAGACCUCCUUCACCUUGCCGUCAAAAGUCAAGUGCCAUGUAAUGAGUGUAGGAUAUGAUGGAAAAUCAUUUUAACAUGAUAAAAAAAUGAAUCUCGAACCUUUUGACUAAAAUUCACUUUUUAAUUAAAAACCUUAUUUUGUAACGUGCCCUCCGCAACUCGUUGGAAUCAAAAGCAUUUAUUACAAAUUCGAGUACUUUUUUCGUUUGUGCACUUUUGCACUUUUUUACAGAUUUAUUAUAAACAAAUAAUUAUAAUUUAAUUUCAGCAGCACUUAAUUAAUUAAAAAUGAAUUUUAAAUCUUUAACUACCUCAAUGAACCAAAUUUUAUUAUCUACUAAUCACUUUUAAUCGAUUUAUCAAAAGUAAUCAAUCCUUCUCAAUUAAUUGUUUCUUUUUUAAAUUUUAAUUUACUCCUAAGUCUUAAAUAUAUCAUAAUAUGAGGAAGUAGUGUUUAUACAACAGAACCCAAUUAUUAUAAACACCCAAAAAAAAAAAAAACAAAAAAGAGGACAGAGCGAGAGAAAGAAAACAAAAAAGAUGGAAAAUUUACAGCAAUAAAAGAACCCCAAAGAGCUCCUAAAAAAUUCCGAAAAAAUAUUAAAAAAACUAAAAUUCCUAAAAAUUCUAAACUAAUUAACAAAAAACAAAAAAGAAAGAAAGAAAGCGUAUGGUCGAAACUACCACCAACUCAUUGUUAAUCCAAUCCCAGGAUACGAUGAAUGUCAAUAAAUUAAACAGAAGGCCGCAUUUUCAAAGUUUUGGAUACGUAUUUACAUCAUUACUUGACAAUUUAGUAAAUAUAUUAUAGCAUUCAACUAUCUGAUUCUACUAGCUGAAAAUGAUUUAGCAAUAAUUAAUUGUUCAAAAAUAGUAUUAUCUUAUUCUUAAAAAAAAUCAACAAAGAUGGGGAAAUUAAAAAGGUUUAAAAGAGCAUAUUAAUUUUAUUUGUUGAGUGCAAGACUCGUAGCAUUCAUGCAAUGGGGGAUUUCGGACACUCUUACAAGUCAGUCAACUCUCAGUAAACGUUUUGAUUGCAAGUUUGCGUCGGUGAUGAUUUUUUGUCAUUACUUUUGGUAAAAUAAUGAAGAAAAUUUCCACUUCAGAGUUUUAAGUUAAGCUUAGCACACCUCUAGUUAUAUUCUUUUGCCACCAAUAUGGACAGAUUCAAAUCUCAAACUUGUUGUAUCAACUCAAAAGAUUUCAACAACUAAAUUAUCUAUCACUCGCGAAAAGUGUGUGCAUUAGGCUCCAAUUCGAGAUAAAGCAAUGAGAAGAAGAAUAACAUUUGUCAUUAAUUGCACGCUAUUCAUUUAUUUAUUUUACAUUCAUCAUUGGAAAAAUGAAACCUAAAUAUCACUGAAAGAUCAUUCCUUCACUGAUUCAGACAUUAACAACUCCGUUGAAGAAUCUGAUUCAAUCUCUCUUCCGGAUAUAUGACGAGAAGAAGAUGAGAAAGGUUUUGGAGGCAUUUGCAAAUCGUCAAUACUCCCUUCUAAAAUUUCCAAAACUUUUUGUCACAGAGGAGCGAUCAGCGCCUUAGUCACAGCUCAGGUAAUAUUUUAACCUAUAUAUUGUUCCUCCUGUGGCGCUGAUGGGAGCAAAAUCAUUUUCCUUGGGAUGAAAUUUUGCAAGGGCCGAAAUCUGAGCCGUUGGGGAAGGAAUUAGGAUCUAGCAGGAUGUUGUGAGACUUAAAUGUUGAAAUGAAGACUGCACACAUCACAUCCGGCCGUUCUGUAAAUACUCGAUCCCGCGAGCCUUUUCUAAAGCAACCUAGCUCAUGGAGUUUCUGCCAACUACCCUCCUUGGGAACUAUAAGCCUAUCAAUAAAGGAAUGCUCUUUCAGUAGUUAUGCUUUUUUUUUUUUUUCAAUGAUGGUUUAAAAAUAGACUAAAGUUUUCGUAUNNNNNNNNNNNNNNNNNNNNNNNNNNNNNNNNNNNNNNNNNNNNNNNNNNNNNNNNNNNNNNNNNNNNNNNNNNNNNNNNNNNNNNNNNNNNNNNNNNNNNNNNNNNNNNNNNNNNNNNNNNNNNNNNNNNNNNNNNNNNNNNNNNNNNNNNNNNNNNNNNNNNNNNNNNNNNNNNNNNNNNNNNNNNNNNNNNNNNNNNNNNNNNNNNNNNNNNNNNNNNNNNNNNNNNNNNNNNNNNNNNNNNNNNNNNNNNNNNNNNNNNNNNNNNNNNNNNNNNNNNNNNNNNNNNNNNNNNNNNNNNNNNNNNNNNNNNNNNNNNNNNNNNNNNNNNNNNNNNNNNNNNNNNNNNNNNNNNNNNNNNNNNNNNNNNNNNNNNNNNNNNNNNNNNNNNNNNNNNNNNNNNNNNNNNNNNNNNNNNNNNNNNNNNNNNNNNNNNNNNNNNNNNNNNNNNNNNNNNNNNNNNNNNNNNNNNNNNNNNNNNNNNNNNNNNNNNNNNNNNNNNNNNNNNNNNNNNNNNNNNNNNNNNNNNNNNNNNNNNNNNNNNNNNNNNNNNNNNNNNNNNNNNNNNNNNNNNNNNNNNNNNNNNNNNNNNNNNNNNNNNNNNNNNNNNNNNNNNNNNNNNNNNNNNNNNNNNNNNNNNNNNNNNNNNNNNNNNNNNNNNNNNNNNNNNNNNNNNNNNNNNNNNNNNNNNNNNNNNNNNNNNNNNNNNNNNNNNNNNNNNNNNNNNNNNNNNNNNNNNNNNNNNNNNNNNNNNNNNNNNNNNNNNNNNNNNNNNNNNNNNNNNNNNNNNNNNNNNNNNNNNNNNNNNNNNNNNNNNNNNNNNNNNNNNNNNNNNNNNNNNNNNNNNNNNNNNNNNNNNNNNNNNNNNNNNNNNNNNNNNNNNNNNNNNNNNNNNNNNNNNNNNNNNNNNNNNNNNNNNNNNNNNNNNNNNNNNNNNNNNNNNNNNNNNNNNNNNNNNNNNNNNNNNNNNNNNNNNNNNNNNNNNNNNNNNNNNNNNNNNNNNNNNNNNNNNNNNNNNNNNNNNNNNNNNNNNNNNNNNNNNNNNNNNNNNNNNNNNNNNNNNNNNNNNNNNNNNNNNNNNNNNNNNNNNNNNNNNNNNNNNNNNNNNNNNNNNNNNNNNNNNNNNNNNNNNNNNNNNNNNNNNNNNNNNNNNNNNNNNNNNNNNNNNNNNNNNNNNNNNNNNNNNNNNNNNNNNNNNNNNNNNNNNNNNNNNNNNNNNNNNNNNNNNNNNNNNNNNNNNNNNNNNNNNNNNNNNNNNNNNNNNNNNNNNNNNNNNNNNNNNNNNNNNNNNNNNNNNNNNNNNNNNNNNNNNNNNNNNNNNNNNNNNNNNNNNNNNNNNNNNNNNNNNNNNNNNNNNNNNNNNNNNNNNNNNNNNNNNNNNNNNNNNNNNNNNNNNNNNNNNNNNNNNNNNNNNNNNNNNNNNNNNNNNNNNNNNNNNNNNNNNNNNNNNNNNNNNNNNNNNNNNNNNNNNNNNNNNNNNNNNNNNNNNNNNNNNNNNNNNNNNNNNNNNNNNNNNNNNNNNNNNNNNNNNNNNNNNNNNNNNNNNNNNNNNNNNNNNNNNNNNNNNNNNNGGCCGUACAGCAGUAUUAUUUUAAAUGUAAAAAAUAAUUUAAUAUUAUUAGUCUACUGGAUAGAUUAUAUUAUUUAUAUUAAAUUUUAAUUAAAUAAAAAACUUCAAAGUCAAUUUCCUAAUUAAUAAAUUCAAAGGGUAUUAUGAUUAAAAAUGGGUCUUGAUGUCUCAUUUUAAAAACUUGAGAGUUUUUGUAAUUAUUUUCUCACACCUUAAGGGUAUAAUUAUCUUUUUUCCUCAAUAAUAUUAUAAAUUGAAAAAAUUCAUCCAUAGUUGUAUUAAUGUUGUAUCACUCGAACACAUCAAAGAUUUUAAGCGAUAAAUAAAACAACCAGAGUCAAACAAAAACUCAAUUUAGUGGUUUUCAAGCGUUCCAAUAACAAGAAGGACUAAAUAAUUUAGCUUAUAAUCGGGGAAAAUUUGAAAUAAAUUAACAAUAUCCCUUUUUAAUUGUAAUCUUCUGCUAUCUAGAUCAAUUGAUUGCACCUGCCUCAACAUCAGCAGAGACAAAGGGCAUUGGAGGGAUCUCCAAGCUUUGUAAAUCAGCUUCAAGCAUUUGUAAUACCAUUGGCAUGGAAGGUCUCUCCGUGGGAUUCCAUUGAAUGCACCAAAUUGCCACAAUUGCAAGCUUUCUCGCAAUUCCCUCAUCCCCAUCUUCCUCAAAAUCCAAACAGAGCUCUUGUCCUAGCCUCAUUCUAUUGUAAAUCCACUCUGGAAAAUAUAUUUGGCUCUGAAUUUCAACCGCAGGAUCAUUAUUUUUUCUGCAUCCGACCAUCUCUAACAGCAUCAUUCCGUAACUGUAAACAUCAGACUUGUAAGAGAUCUCACCAAAAUUCCUGGAGAAAAGUUCAGGUGCAAUGUAGCCAGAAGUGCCUCUGGCAGCUGUCAGAGAUACAAUGCUUAUGUCCUUUGAGCACAACUUAGCCAGUCCAAAAUCUGAAAUCUUCGGUUGAAAAUUAUGGUCUAAUAAUAUAUUGUGAGGCUUGAUAUCGAAGUGCAGGAUCCUCUGGUUGCAUCCUUGGUGCAAGUACUCCACUCCACGGGCAACGCCAAAUGCAAUCUUCCUCAGCUUCUCCCAACUCAAUUGACGGUGACUUGAGCUAUUUGUCUUUGAGAAGAUGAAUUUCUCAAGUGAUCCAUUGGGCAUAAACUCGUAAAUAAGAGCGCGACGAUUCCCUUCAGAGCAAAAUCCCAGAAGCCGAACAAUGUGAAAGUGGUGAAUCCUGCCAAUUGUGGCCACUUCAUUGAUGAACUCUUGUCCAUUUCCUUUUAAAUGUUCCAACAUCUUGACAGCAACUGGAAUUCCGUUGAAGAGUUUUCCUCUGAACACACUUCCAUAACCUCCCUGGCCGAGCCUGUGCUUAAAUCUGCUUGUUAUUUUCUUCAGUUCUUUGUAAGUAUAUCUGGUGGGAUUGACGGUCCUGUAGUUUUCGAGGAACUUCUCCACCUUCAGUUGAGUCUCUUUUUCUUUUUCAGAUUCUCUUGAUCUGUAAAUGAGAAAUAUCACUAAUGCAAAGAGGGUGAUGCCUCCAAUGCUUGUGCCUGUGGAUAUUAGACUUAUAGAUAAAGGGCCAGGACCAUCUGUUACAAUAAAAUGAGAUGCUAAAAGUUAGUUAAAAAAUCAACUCAAAGAAUAAAAUGAGACGCUAAAAGUUUGGACCCGUGUAAGCUUAACUUGGUAGCAUAAAGACUCAAUAUUAUUUGAUUGGGUUUUAACAAGUCCCUCUCAUGUGACCAUCUCAUAUAGAUAUUUGUCCAUAACUUAAAUGAUAAUUAUAUAUCUUAUUCACAUGGGUGGAUAGAUAAUUAGGUCGUCAUUUAACUAAAUAAUGAAAAAAUAUUAAUAAGGAGAAGGAUGAAAUUAUUUGAACUGCAAAGUAAGCACUCUUUCACCUUGCACACUUCAAUUUUAAAAUUGUAAUUUUUACUCAAGCACACAAUGAAAACACCAAAAUGAUCACAAUUAGAAAUCCCUAUCAUUAUGCUUUUUUUUUGCCUUUCUGCAUUCACAAAAUGAUUUUUUUUCCCUCGUCUCUUAUUCCAUGUGAAUAUUGAGGGUCACUUAAUUAAACAAAUUUUUUUUCUCAACAAAUUUGCCAUCAUGAACGUUUUUUUCUCAACAAAUUUGCCAUCAUCUUAAUUUGUAUUCAUUGAGGACGCAAGAAAAUAUAAUAGAUUAAACUUUUAUCAGGCAUUGUGAGUUUAAUCAAUCUCUCACCAUUAACGAAAAUUAAUUGUAAUAUAAAGAUUCAAGAUUAAAUUGACGAGAUAGAGAAAAUUAGUACUAUCUAUUUGGUCCUGAGUAGUAUCAGUUUUUCUCCAAACAGUCAAAUCAGCCAGGCUAGCAACAUUUUAUCGAGCACUCUACAACUAGCAAUAAUACUGGAAAGCAGCUUUUAUAGCAAUGAUAUUCGUCAUACAGAUUAGGGGUGGGUAAAAUUAUAAUUGCCGCCAAAAAACAAAUCGUCAGUUUUUUUUUUUUUUGUAAAAAAAAAUCCAUCGAUUUAUAUGAGAGAAAGUAAAAAACCAAAAAAACUAGAAAAACGCAAAAGAAAAUGCAGGUCAAAUGAAAAAAAAUAAAUAAAUAAAACCUAACUAAAUCGAACAAAUUGAUUGGACUUUCAGUUCAGUUCAAAUUAUUAAUUUUUUGAAAAACUGACCAUCGGAAUUCAACUAAAUCUAAGUUCUAACCUUUGCCCAGUGCCCACCCCUAAAAUAAUAUAGAUGGCUUCUUUAAUUUUUAACUUCCAGCAAUUGUAAUUACACUUUUACAAUUGAAAAAAUAAUGCAAAGCCUAAUUAUUAUUAUUUUUUUUCAGUUACACUGCUCUGAUCAUUUUUCCAAUAGAGACGAUGCUUUCACUUUCAAGCACUGUAGAGAGAGGUGACUGAGAAAAGAUAUGGUUACUUACGUUUUUGGUGUUUAACGGCAACGCAGAUUGUCGAAUUGCUUGUAGUGUUGAACCCACAAUAAUUCCCUUAAUUUUCGCAGUCGUAGCAUCCAUCAAGAGCUUCCCAUCCUAAGACUACUGGAGUUGCCCUCGCCGUCGUGGCAAUAUCCUGAAGAGGUAAUCCACCAGGAAUCUCAACUGUUCCAGAUUUUCUGCAAGAUGGAGGCAUAUCCUCCACUGAAGAUUCGCUAUCUAUGGUACAGACAAGAUUGUUUUCAUUGCUAAGACAAUUGAUCGGUUCAAUUGGUCCAUACGAAGUCCAUCCUGGGGAAGCCUUCUCAAUUCACAUCUGUAAUGUUAAUACUGCUGUCCAGAUAAGAAAUUUCAUGGACAUAAUAAUCACCAGAGGAAGGAAGAUGCCAGAUUGUCUUGUCACUUAAGCAUGACAAUUCAAACCCUUCAAGGCCACAAUAUGUUGGUUGAGCUUUGAGUCUGAAGGGAUAUAUGAUCCUUGGGCUCUUAUUACUGCAUCUUGUUGGUUGACAGAAUUCAUAUUUAUCUGUCUUGUUGUCUUCCGCAGAAGCUUUGGCUAAUGUACAUGUGUAAAGUAGGAAGAGGAAGAGGAUUAUUAAACUCAUCACGAGGGACAUGGAGGGAGAGGGAGAGCGGAGUUUGAGUUAGAGCAGAGUUUGAGUUAUGCUUUUGGAGUAAUAAGGGAGAGGAGAGUUUGAUUGUCAGUUUGUCAUGGAAAAAGGUAGGAAAAUGGGUUUCUUUUAAAUUCUUCUGUUCUUUCCUUCUUUCUUUUCUCCUUUUUCUAAGUCAAUGGUAGCUCCAAAGAGACUAGUCAACUUCAAUAUCUGCCAAUAUCAGAUGCAUGGAGGAACAUGAUGAGACUUGCUGUUUGUGAUAUAGAUUUUAGUGAGAGUUGUGAAAGUAAUUUGUAGGUAAAGAAAUGAGAAAAUUAUGUUUUUAAGAUCAGUAAGUAAUGUUCUUUAGAAAACGGGUAAUUCCGAGCAGCUACCCUCCGCUUACCAUGAUAUAUCAGUGGGAGACUAAGGUCGUGUUUAGGAUCUAUGUGUCUUUUAAUUCACCAUUGUUGUGAGAUGAAAUUAUUAUCUAUUAAGUAAAAGUGGAUGUGUGGUGAUAGCUAGGUGUCUACGAUAUACUUUGGUAAUUGUACUUUAAAUUAAGUUCAGCAGGACCAGAGAGUUCAAACAAUACUCUAGCUCAAUCAGAUAUGCCGCACGCAGCGUUUCAAUAGUUUGAUGAAUGUACAUGAUCACAUGACAAACCUACAUCAUAUUCUGGUCGAUACGAGCAAAAUUGGAAUAUUCACAUCAAACAAUGAAUAUUACUGAAAUUUUUCAACAUAAUGUUAUAGAAUCCCUGGUAGCACGAGGACAAUUUAUUUCUUUUUUACACGUCAUUGCAAAAACUAAGCAUAACUAUCAUUGAAAGAACAUUCCUCAAUCAAUUCAGACACUAACAACUCUGUUGAAGAAUCUGAUUCAAUCUCUCUUCCGGAGAUAUGUCGAGAAGAAGAGAAGAAAGGUUUCGGAGGCAUUUGCAAAUCGUCGAUACUCCCUUCUAACAUUUCCAAAACUUUUGUCAUGGAGGGGCGAUCAGCUGGCUUCACCUGAAUACACCAUAAACCAAUCAUACAUAGUUUCCUUGCAAUCACGGACUCGAUUUCAGUCACAUUCCGAAGCUCUAAAUCACCUCCCUUAUUUAAUUGGUCAUAUACCCAAGAUGGGAAAUAUGCUUUGCUUGAACGAGUUGCAUUCAUAUUAGAAUUCCUUCUUCCUCCAGCCAUUUCCAACAACACCAUCCCAAAACCGUAAACGUCAGACCUGAAAGAAACAGUUCCAAAAUUUCUUGAAAUCAGCUCCGGUGCUAUGUAUCCUAUGGUUCCUCUUGUGGCACUGAGGGACACAAAAUCAUUUUCCUUGGGAUGAAACUUUGCAAGGCCGAAAUCUGAGACCUUUGGGAUGAAAUUAUGAUCUAGCAGGAUGUUGUGAGGUUUAAUGUCGAAAUGAAGAAUGCAGACAUCACAUCCGCUGUGUAAAUACUCGAUCCCACGGGCAGUUCCUAAAGAAACUUCGUGGAGUUUCUCCCAACUAAAAGAUUGGCCUCUACUUUCCUUAGGAAAGAUAUGCCUAUCGAGUGAUCCAUUAGGCAUAAACUCGUAGACAAGUGCGCGUUUGGAUCCCUCAGAACAGAACCCCAAUAACUGGACCACAUUAACGUGGUGAAUUCUACCUAUUGUUGAAACUUCGUUGAUGAAUUCCUCCGCACUGAACUUGGAGUUCUCCAGCAUCUUAACAGCAAUCAAGCGACCGGUAUGAAGUUGUCCUUUAUAAACUGAACCAAAGCCACCUUGGCCUAAUUUAUUAGUGAAGUGGUUUGUCACGGCAAUUAUCUCCGGGUAAGAGUACCUUUUAGGCAUCCACGAUUGAUGGUUGUGCAGAAAUUUCUCAAUAUUAUCAACUGUUUGCAAUGUCGUUCUCUAUUUGUGGAUAAGGAACACGAGAAAGACUAUUGGAGCAAGAAUAAAUCUGCCAAUUAUCAGAACAUCAACUGGAAACCCUGGUAAAGAGAACGUUUAUUGAAAGUAAAUAGUAGUAAGCAAAGCAAUAAAAAAAGGAUCCUGGAGAGGAGAUUUUACCUAACACAGAACUUAUCCCAUAAAUUACACUGUAAACUGCAAUUGGAGAGGGGGAAAAAAAUAAAUAAGCUUUAUACCUAAUCAGAGAGAUGAUUCAGAAAAAUUAUACAGUAAAAGAUUAGAGAAUAUAUGAAGCCGUCGCAUUUAUAAGGAUAUGCUUACGUGUAAGUUAUGAGUAGCAAAUAAUUUUUGCCCCUACUCCUUCAUUGUAGAUGCAAUCUGUUACAAAAGUGGAAAGAAACAGAAAUUAAAGGUCAUAUUGGUAUGCUCCUAGAGAUAGUUCACAAAUUCUUUAUUACGUACAAUAUUGGAAAACAAAAACAAAGCCCUUGCAUUUGAAUGCAUAAAUAAAUAUAAGCAUAAGCUUACAGCGAGGCAUCAUUAAGAGGCUCCAACUCGAAUCUGACCAUGUAAGAUCGAACCCUGACUCCAGCGAUUUUCGGAGGUCUUCAUAAGAAAGUUUGUCCGCGCUCCUAUUAAGCACUACAGGAACCUUUGAAAUGAAGGCGCAUGAGUCUGGAAGAUGUGAUAGACUGGUGGCGAUUAAAUCAUAUCCAACAUAAACAUAGACAUUCGACUGAUUGUUACUCAAACAUGGAACUUUCGCAUACGCCUUAUCAACAAUAUUACUCGAGCAAUUCACGUAAUAGGCGUAUGAAUUAAGAUUGUAAUCAAAAUAAUAUCUGAAAAUUAAACCAGGUGGGGAAAAAGAAGUGGAUGGGAAGCUGCAGCUUCCAUAGGCUAAGUUAGCAUCGACAACACUGAUUGUACUCUUAUCAUAGGAAAUUCUCUUCACAUAGUACUUUCCAGAAUUGGAUUCUAAGAUGGUUUUGUUGCUCUCGCAAGAAAGUUCUAACUCCGGAUGACCGCAUCCAGCUGGAUCGCCCUUGAGGUGAAGAGGGUAGCUUAUGUUUUUGCCAUCUCCACAAGAAGAAGAACACUUUUCUACUUCAAGUUUUCUUGCUUCAAUUUCACUGGUGCUGAAUACAAACAUCAACAGACAAAACAGAAAAGUUGAGAAAAUUGAAGCUUCUUCACUACUCAUUGCUCCUCCAAUUGCAGGACACAAAUAACGAAUUUGAAUCAACUAAGCAGAACGGUGUAUAAGUGUUAAUGUACUAUGUUUUCUACAGUUUCACUUGCACGGUGAGAGGCGGGCUUUAAACUUAUCAUAGUUUAGUAUACAACUAUGUGAUUGAAUUAAUUAGCAAUAAAUAAUUUGUUUAAAAAUAAUAUUAAUUAUUCAUAAAAUGAAAUCGACACGAGGGAAGAAAAUUUUUAAUUACUGAGUGCGAGGCUUCAAGCAUUAAUGCAAUGGAAGAUAAAGGGACAAAUCUAGAUAAACAUGUUCAAUUUCGUUUCUUACUGUAAAUUUUGUAUGCGGAUGCCACGGAGCUUCUGAAGUCUCUUUCCACGAUUUGUUUAGGUGGAAGCUUUCAGAUUUCAAUGGGGAAGUCAAUACGGCAAAGUGAAGUCGCUUAAUUUCCUGGUAAUUGUAAAUGAGUUAGCAUCGGUGGGAAUGGGUUGAUCCAUCCAUCCCCAUCCUAGCUUGACCUCAAAUUUCUUAGUAAACGUUCUUCAAUGCAGUCCAAUUCCAGUCAAUAUCUUUCGCUUACUUUAUUAUUAUUAUUUUUUAAUAGGGUUUGGAGAAACGCGGCAUUGGAAAUUUGGAACAAUGAGGACUUCUCAUGUCAUGUUCACGUGUUUCUAAAAAUUAUGGUUGUUGUUGUAAUAAUAAUAAUAAUAACUGCUNNNNNNNNNNNNNNNNNNNNNNNNNNNNNNNNNNNNNNNNNNNNNNNNNNNNNNNNNNNNNNNNNNNNNNNNNNNNNNNNNNNNNNNNNNNNNNNNNNNNNNNNNNNNNNNNNNNNNNNNNNNNNNNNNNNNNNNNNNNNNNNNNNNNNNNNNNNNNNNNNNNNNNNNNNNNNNNNNNNNNNNNNNNNNNNNNNNNNNNNNNNNNNNNNNNNNNNNNNNNNNNNNNNNNNNNNNNNNNNNNNNNNNNNNNNNNNNNNNNNNNNNNNNNNNNNNNNNNNNNNNNNNNNNNNNNNNNNNNNNNNNNNNNNNNNNNNNNNNNNNNNNNNNNNNNNNNNNNNNNNNNNNNNNNNNNNNNNNNNNNNNNNNNNNNNNNNNNNNNNNNNNNNNNNNNNNNNNNNNNNNNNNNNNNNNNNNNNNNNNNNNNNNNNNNNNNNNNNNNNNNNNNNNNNNNNNNNNNNNNNNNNNNNAAAAGAAUUUAAAUACUUUAUAAUAUGGUGAUGAUUUUAUUUUAAGUCUCUAAUUUUUAACUUACUGAAAUCAUGUAUUUAUACCUAAUAUAAAAUAGAUAAAUGGGGAAUGGGGUGGGAAUGGGGAAAGCAUUCCCCACAUGGGGAUUCCCCAUCCCCACCCCACUAAAUUUAUUGGGGAAUGGGGUGGGAAAUGGAGGCAAAAAUUUCUAACGGGGUGGGGAAUGGGGUAGGCCUCCCCACCCCCACCCCACCCCAUUGCCAUCCCUAUGUGUGACGGCACUAAUAUGCCAUUAGUGUUUUUAUUACUUUUUUUCAAUUAAUUAAUAUACAGUAUAUUAGUAAAUUCACGUGUUAAAAUAUGUAGAAAUCCACGCAUAACAAUAUAUAUAUGUGUGUGUGCGCUUGUGUCUACAUAUACACACACACUUUUGACAAAAUCAGUUACGUCAAAAAAUGCCAUGAGGAUAUUAGUCUAUCCUUGCGCAUUGGGGACUAAUUGAGCUUUUUAAUGAUUUAAAUUUCAAAUGCUCAAUAUGAGUUGGGCUUCGUAUUGAGACCACCAAAGUUCAACAAAAAAAACAUAAAUCAUUAAUUACACUGUGAUUAUGGAAACAAGUAAAUAUAUAAUAAAAUAAUAUUAAAAAAUUAACAGUCGAAUACGUAGUUUGAUCAUGGGAUAUAAUAGCAUAUAAUAGAUUAUUAGAAUAACAAAAGAGAUUAAAUUAAUAAUUUUUUUAAUCAUAUACGACGUUCAUUAAUCUCAAGUGGAUUAGAGUACAAAUGGUAUAGUUUAUGACAAAAAUUUAGAUCAAUUUAUAUGUUAUUCAUCACACACAUGAUAUAGAUGGAAAAAGUUAGACCAACGGUAUAAUACUAGUUAGGCGCAGAAGGAAAGAAAAUCAAUGUGUCCUGAUAUUUCCACUUUACUAACAUACAACAAAUUCGAGCUAAGGAUAUCUUGAAUCUUAUGCUUGGUGCAACAUUUUGAUGUGUCUUCAUAAGCUAAUUUUUCAUGUGGUUUUUAGAACUCUCCAUUUCCGAUUCAAGAUUGGUUCUAUGAGUAGCCCUCUUUGCCGUCAAGAGUCAAAGUGUCACUAUGAUAUUUUAUGAAGGCAAAUCACUUCUGCAUAGAUUUCCUCUCCAUCAAAUGUUUUCGCAUUAAUUUUGUGACAUUGUAACGAGUUCUGUUGUGUUUCAUGUGGUAUGUAGUUCUGCCGUAAAUGGCUUUAAUGAAACAAUCGCUCAUUUCAAAUGUCGCAGCUGCAUUAGUAUAAUGUAUAUAUUGAUGUAAAAUAUUGAUCAAAUGUCGAAUUCAAAUCCAUAAAAUAAAAAUAUUGAUCAAAUGAUUAACUUGGUAGCCGAUAUGGGAAUAGUAGUCUCAUUGAAAAUGUGCUAAAAAAACAAUAUAAUAAUGUAUCUAUUGCGAAAGGCGAACAAGAAAAAGAGGGAAAGUAAUGUAGACUUGAUUUCUCGCCAGCCUAAAAGGGGGAAGCACUUCAUAAAUUAAUGCUUUUAAGCCUGCAACCAUUUAAUUGGCAUCAUGCAUUCAAAGUCCUUGCUACUGUAAACAAUUUAUCAAGUACUUUAAUUUCGUGCCGCUAUGGAUAUGCACGCUUCCAUGGCCAUUCAGCAGCUAUUUAAUAUUGUGGAGACAAAAGCGUAUCGAUUGGUGAUUUUUUUCCUUCAUUAAUAUUUGGUGCAUGUGUUUGUUUUGAUUCAAGUGGAGGGCGCUAAUUUUCUGAACUUUUGUUGACAGAAGAUAGAGAACACAUAAAUUAAAAUGCCAUUAAUCAAACGCAUUUUAAAUCUUUGUGCUCUCUAUAUUCUGUCAUCAACGUGCAGAUUCAUUUGGCCCUCAAAACUGUAGUGAUCUACUGAUCUUCUUCCAGGUGCUACUUGUUGAUUUUCGUUUGAUUAUUAUUUUAUUUGUUCACACACACACAGAGACACACACAUACAUACAUAUACAUAUACACUCAUAAUAUAAUUAUAAGUUAUGUAUACACAACUAAACCCAUCAUAUAUAUAUCCUCCAUGCAUGCAUAUCUAUAUUGUGAAAUGAGGCAAAUGGCGGCAUAUUGGCAUAUAGAAUGAAACACCGUUUGAGGAGUUGAGAGAGAUUCAGAAUUUGGACUGCUCAUGUGACUUGCUUCAGGGUGGACGCUUUGGGCUUUUCAUAGGAGUAGAAUUAAAAGCCCACUAAUGACUUGGGCUAUUCAUUGAGGCAGCCACAGUCCAUAAAGAAGCACAAAGCCAUGAGCUGUUUCAAUUGUUUUGUUCUUUUUUUUACCUUCUAGUCUGAUUCACUUUCAAAGAAGCAGAAAGCCACCGGACGGCCGUUAUAUAUAUAUAUAUAUGAUAUAAAUAUUUUAAUUUUCAAGAUAAAAGAUAUAUUUGUCUAAAAAAAAUUAAAAUUUCUUUUCUUAUCAAAUUUUAUAUCAAACCAAACAAUAAAAUUUAAUUGCACUAUUUUUCUCUACUCCUUUAUUCUUCCUUCCUCUCCAUUCCACUAUUUUCAUCUUUUCCCUUUCCUUCAAACCAAAACAUAACCUAAAAGUUUGGCCUUUACUUUCCUUGGAAAAGAUAUUCCUCUCGAGUGAUCCAUUAGGCAUAAACUCAUAAACUCAUAGAUAAGUGCACGUUUGGAUCCCUCAGAAUAAAACCCGAAUAAUUGGACUACAUUAACGUGGUGAAUUUUACCAAUUGUUGAAACUUCAUUGAUGAAUUGCUCCGCACUGAACUUGGAGUUCUCCAGCAACUUAAUAGCAAUCAAGCGACCAGUAUGAAGUUGUCCUUUAUAAACGGAACCAAAGCCACCUUGGCCUAAUUUAUAAGUGAAGUGGUUUGUCAUGGCAAUCAUCUUAGGGUAAGAGUACCUUUUAGGCAUCCACGAUUGCUGGUUGCGUAGAAAUUUCUCAAUACUAUCAACUGUUUUUAGUGUCGUUCUGUAUUUGUGGAUAAGGAACACAAAGUAAAACUGUUGAACCAAUAAUGAACCUAGUAAUUAUAAGAUACACGAAUGCACCGUCUGGAAAUAAGAAAGUUUAAUUCUAAGUAACUAGCUGACUCGAAAUAACAAGAACAUGAAUUCCAGCCAGGAAACCAUACCUACUAAUAACAAUUCGAGGUCGUCCUAAGGUGGCGGGAGUUUGUAGUAAACUGCAACCCGAGGAAAAAAGAUUAGGCUUUACAUACUCAUACUCAAGAGAGAUGAUUCAGAAAAAGUUAUUAAGCACAAGAUUGGAAAAUAAAUAAACAAAUCACAUGAUGCCAUCAAUUUAACACCAAAAAACACAAUCGCAAAGUUUAAAAUGUGUAAGCAUAGUGUCACGGGAUGAGUGUGUUGCGCAACAAACCCGUGCGGCACUUAGACAACCUUUGCCGAAUGUUGCUAAGUAAGCCUUGAACUUCUCAACUAGCUUAGCUUAGCUUAGAGGCUUUCGAAAAGCUAAAGAGAAGAGAGCAAUGGAGCCGAAUAAGAGAAAUUAUAUUGCUUACAAGAGAGAUUACAAGAGAGCUUACAAGUGUUUGAGUUGUUUGAUCUAAGCUUGUUGCUCAAAUGUCAAAUGUCAUGCCUAUUUAUAGGGGAGGCUUGCCAAGCUCUAGAGAUUCUAGAGAAUUCUACCAACUAUCUAGAUAAUUGCAUGUGCUGGAAAUGUGUGGAGUAUUCUAGAUAUUUACAAGCUUAAAUGUGCUAGAGUUGCCUAGAAUUUUCUGGAAUCGGGCCAAGCUAGCACUCUUGGCCUUGUCUUGGGUUCUCUAGCUCGAAAUUGUGGGCAAUUGGGCUAGUAACUUGGGCAGUCCGCAACAUCCUCGCCCACCUAAGCUCACGGCGUCCUCGUCGCGCUUUCGUGCUUGAAAUUCUGGAUGUGUUCAACGAAUUGCCAUAAAUCAUCUUCGCGUUCCCAAGUGGCUUCACUCUCGGGGAGGUUUUUCCACUUCACCAAGUACUCGUUGUAUUGUGGCACGCCUCUUCUCCAAACUAUGCGGUCCGCAAUGAUGUAGUCCACAUCUUUGUCGAACAUGAUGGCAACGGCGGUUGGUGUACGCCUCGAUUCUCCGCGACGUGGGUCUUCCACAUCUCCGUGAUAUGGCUUGAAAAGGCACGUCAAUGCAUCACGCAUCACUCGUGCUAGCGGAAGCUAAACUAUCGGAGAGUGUGCGCUUGUGCCAUGCCCAAUCCGAACGGACUUCCUUCACUUCUGCACGGACAACGCGUAGUUCAUCCCGAACAAAGCUACGAAGUUUUAGCAACUCAUCAUGAAAGGAUCAAAACUCACCUCGGAGAGUGUUUCUUGCUCUUGGAUGAGGGCUUUUGUUGCCACAGUGAACUCGGAGUAUUCUCCCUUGAGACCGUCCACUCUUUCCUCUAAUCCCUCAAGGUUGUCUUGAGCGAUGGACAAGGCAGUUUCGAGAGUGGCUACACGAGGCUCCAACGCAUCCAUGGAUGGGGCCUUGGACUUGCCGCGUUUGCAUUGGGCGCGAUCUCCCUCACGGCCGCGGCUUGGUUCCAGCGGAACGUCUACACCAAUAACGCCCUCUUACACUGGAUUUGGAGGGUUGGCCAUUGCUCGUGAGCUAACUUGCGUAGGUGCAAACCUUAGCUCUGAUACCACUUGUCACGGGAUGAGUGUUUUGCGCAACAAACCCGUGCGGCACUUAGACAACCUUUGCCGAAUGUUGCUAAGUAAGUCUUGUGUUUCUCGACUAGCUAAACCUAGAGGUUUUCAAAGAGUUAGAGGGAAGAGAGCAAUGAAGCCGAAUAAGAGAAAUUGUAUUGCUUUCAAGAGAGAUUACAAGAGAGCUUACAAGUGUUUGAGUUGCUUGCUCUAAGCUUGUUGCUCAAAUGUCAAAUGUCAAAUGUCAUGUACUAGAAAUGUGUUGAGUAUUCUAAAUAUUUACAAGCUUAAAUAUGCUAGAGUUGCCUAGAAUUUUUUGGAAUCGGGCCAAGCUAACACUCUUGGCCUUAUCUUGGGCUCUGCAGCCCGAAAUUAUGGGCAAUUGGACUAGUAACUUGGGUGGUCCGCAACAAUAGGCUUAUUACGUGUCAAAAGUUCUUGGUAGCAAAUAAAUUUUCCGAAUACUACUUCUGCGAUGUGGCAUUCAGCAAAGACUGCAAAAGUUCAAAAGAAACAGAGAUUAAGGGUCACACCGGUAAACAUACUCUUUUAGAGAUGAUUCACAAAUUCUUAAAUACGUCAAAGAUUAAAAUUGAAAAUUAUAAAUAAAAGGUCUCCAUUUAUUUGUAUGCACAUAUAAGCAUAAACUUACGGUUUGUAAUUGGGCUAUGAUCGAUGCAAUUAAAAUUUCCCGCUCUAACAGUACUAAUGCAUCCUCUACCGGCUGCAUAACAAUUCCUGCAUCCAACUGACCAUCUAAGAUCGAAUCCUGUCUCCAGUAAUUCUCGGAGGGUUUCAUAAGAAGGAUUUUCCUCAUUCCCAUUAUGUAUAGGAACCAUUGAAACGAACGAGCAUGACUCUGAAAAAUCUGAUACAUAGGAGCCAUGGUAAUUAACAUAAACAUUCGACUGAUUUCCUCCACUCAAACAUGGAACUCUUAUAAAAGCCUGAUCAAUGAGAUCCGUCGAGCAAUUCACGAAAUAGGCGUACAAGUAUUUAUAAUAAUCAAGCGCAUAAACCCGAUCAGUUUAAAAAAAAUAGCCACCAGCGUAACGCAGGCGAAAGAUUUCUGUGGGAAAAGAUGUGUAUGGAAGGCCGCAGCUUACAUUGGCUAAGUUAACAUCGGCAACACUGAUUGUGCUUUCGUCAUAGGAAAUUCUCUUUACAUAGUACUUUGCAGAAUUGAAUAAUUCUAAGAUGGUUUGGUUGCUCUGGCAGGACAGUUCGAACUCAGGAUAACCGCAUCCCGAUGGAUCUCCCUUUAGGCGAAACGGGUAGCUUAUGUUUUUAAUAUCGCCACAAGAAGAAGAACGGGUUUGUUGAAGUACUUCUCUUGCUUCAGUUUCAGUGGGGAAUAGAUAGAUCAAUAGACAAAACAGAAGAGUUGAGAGAAUUGAUGAUUCUUCCCCACUCAUUGUUAAUCCAAUCCCAGGAUACGAUGAAUUUCAAUAAAUUAAACAGAAGUCCGCAUUUUCAAAGUUUUGGAUACAUAUUUACAUCAUUACUUGACAACGAGCACGUGUAUAUAGUAAAUUUAUUAUAGCAUUCAACUAUCUGAUUCUACUAGCUGAAAAUGAUUUAGCAAUAAUUAAUUGUUCAAAAAUAGUACUAUCUUAUUCUUAAAAAAAUCAUCAACAAAGAUGGGGAAAUUAAAAAGGUUUAAAAGAGCAUAUUAAUUUUAUUUGUUGGGUGCAAGACUCGCAGCAUUCAUGCAAUGGGGGAUUUCGGACACUUUUACAAGUCAGUCAACUCUCAGUAAACGUUUUGAUUGCGAGUUUGCGCUGGUGAUGAUGACUGUAGCUUGACCUGAAAUUUCUUAGUAAACCUUCAAAUUGAGACAAAAAUUCUGUAACAAUUUCCAUGCAUGCAACAAUCCAGUCAACAUCUUUCGGUUGCUACUUUAAUUUCUCACCACAAACUCGCAGACAAUAAUUCAUUUUUUUAUGGGAACACAGAACAUGCUUUGAUUUAUAAAAUAUAUGGUAAUUUUACUUAUUACAUUUGUUUUUGUUUUAAUGUUAUAUUAGUAGUUAUUAUAAAGUAUGAAGUACAUUUGGUUGUUCAAAUAAAGGGUACAAUAAUAUAAAGAGUGCGUGUGUAAAUUGUAAUCAUUUAUUAAACUUAUUAGGGUCUGUGUUAUCAAUAGCAAACUUAAUCAUUUAAAUUUGAGUCUAAAAGGGGAAUCUGAUAUGGUAUGUUUCAUUUUGUUGGUUGACAACAUUCAUAAAUAUUUGUAUCAUUGUUUCCUUCUGAAGUUUUGGCCUCUGUGUAAGGAAGAGAAGGAAGAAGAUUGUUGAACUCAGAAAAAGUGACAUGGAUUAACAGAGAAAGAGAGAUGUUUUUUAGUGUAAUAUUAAAGAUAGCCAUUCAUUUUUGUAUGGCUUAAAAGCAUUUUACUUAAGUCAAUGGCAACCCCACAAGAGAGUAGUCCUCCAUGACACUUGCAGAAAACAAUAAUAAAGAAUAAGCUCAAUGAAGCCAUUGACCUGAUUUUUUGUGAUUACUUUUCAAUGUGGGGGGUAAAAUAACGAAGAAAAUUUCCACCUCAAGAGUUUUAAGUUAAGCUUAGCACACCUCUAGUUAAAUUCUUUUGCCACCCAUAUGGAUAGAUUCAAAUCUCAAACUUGUUGUAUCAACUCAAAAGAUUUCAACAACUAAAUUACCUAUCACUCGUGAAAAGUGUGUGCAUUAGGCUCCAAUUCGAGAUAAAGCAAUGAGAAGAAGAAGAAUAUUUGUCAUUAAUUGCUCGUUAUUCAUUUAUUUAUUUUACAUUCAUCAUUGGCAAAAUUAAACCUAAAUAUCACUGAGAGAUCAUUCCUUCACUGAUUCAGACAUUAACAACUCUGUUGAAGAAUCUGAUUCAAUCUCUCUUCCGGAUAUAUGUCGAGAAGAAAAUGAGAAAGGUUUUGGAGGCAUUUGCAAAUCGUCAAUAUUCCCUUCUAAAAUUUCCAAAACUUUUGUCACAGAGGAGCGACAGCGCCUUAGUCAUAGCUCAGGUAAUAUUUUAACCUAUAUAUUGUUCCUCCUGUGGCUCUGAUGGGAGCAAAAUCAUUUUCCUUGGGAUGAAAUUUUGCAAGGGCCGAAAUCUGAGCCGUUGGGGAAGGAAUUAGGAUCUAGCAGGAUGUUGUGAGACUUAAAUGUUGAAAUGAAGAUUGCACACAUCACAUCCGUUCUGUAAAUACUCGAUCCCGCGAGCCUUUUCUAAAGCAACCUAGCUCAUGGAGUUUCUGCCAACUACCCUCCUUGGGAACUAUAAGCCUAUCAAUAAAGGAAUGCUCUUUCAGCGAUAGUUAUGCUUAAUUUUUUUUUCAAUGAUGUGUUUAAAAAUAGACUAAAGUUUUCGUAUGCUUUAUGCACCCUGUGCUUGCAUGGGAAGGUAUCAUAGGUGCAGAGGUUUCCUCGCUAUCAAAUGUUUUUAUAUUAAUUUUGUGCCACUGUAAUGAUCAGAAUCACAUGCAUUGCAUUUUGAAUUUGCCAUUUAUAAUAAUAAUAAAAAUUUCCACUUCUCCAUGGUUUGGUCGCUCGGAUUUCGAUCAAUUACCUAUUUCAAAAAAAAAAGUCGAUGGAAAAUCUUUAUUUUUAAUCUUGUCAUGGAUAAAACAGUAUUUGUUCGGUAUAAAUUAAUUAAAGCAAAUCUAAUAUGUAAUAGUGUGAAAAGCAUAAAAGAAAUAAUAAGUUAUAUGGUUGGAGGCUCUAAUGAUGUUACCUCUAAGAAACAGUCAGUGUCUCAAUUUUAUUAAAUUUUUAUUAAUUAUAUGUACAUCCUCAGACUAUCAAAGAUACUGUAUUUUAGACCCAUGUAAUAAAAAAAAAUAAUAAGGAUAUUUUCGUAAUUUUGAAAAAACAAAGACCCAAUGAGAAUUCAACUAUUUUUUUAUAAUAAACAUUUUAUUUAAAAACUUGUUCUCAUCUUCGUUGCCCUUUUGGCGUGUAACACCAAUUGUCUUUAAUAUUUUCAAAGUACAAAUGGAGCACAUUUAAGUCGUUGUUUGUAAAUCAUUACGCAACCAGCAGCUUCUAGCUCCCCCAUUGCAAGAUAAAUUGAAGCAAGACCUUAAGGUUCUAUUUGGCAUUGAGCUAUUGAAACGACUCGUCCGAAUCUCCCUCCCAAGUGAGUUUAUCUAGUCUUAUCAAAACGGACUUGAUAAAAAUUUUAUGAGUAAAGAUUCUGCCGAAAAUUCAGCGGAAUCUCCUUUAUAUAUAUAACACUCCCAAUAUAUAAAUAUGAAUAUACCACUCCCAAUACAAUUUAAUAUACAACAAACUCCAGUGAUCAACAUCCUCAACCAAAAUGCUGAGUUUUAUAUCUCCAGAAUUACAAAAGAUAAUAUUAUAAUCCCAAAAGAAUAAUAUAACAAAAGUUUACAAUCACAAAAGAACAAGAUGACCAAAAUAUCCUAACAGAAGCAUCUAUAUCUUGGUCAACGGUCAACGGUCACCGGAAUUUGGUCAACGCUGGCUAGGAAGCUCAAAUCUGAAAGUUCCAAUCACGCUGAGUUCAAUGGUACUGGCGGUGAGCUCCAACACGCGGCAACGGCGCCGGAAUCGAGCUCGGCAGCCGUGAAUUCCAACAAUCGACCGACGGCAAAACAGUGACUCUCGGUGCCUAUGGAUGGUCGAAAAUGGAAGAGGGAGUCGUGGGGAACAAGAUCCAACCGGUGGUGUCACCCAAAACCAGCGAAAAUCCCGGCGGAGCAAAGUGCAACAGUCGCGGGUUUCAAGCUUCGAUCGUCGGUGUUCCGGUUGGUUUUCGGUGACGAGGAUGGCAAGGGAACGACGGUCGGCUUCUAAGCUUCAGAUUGGUACCAAGCUCGGCCGAAAUGGCAGCCGGAAAUGGGAGAUAUGGUCGGGUCAAGGUCGUGGGUUCCAGGUCGGGUUUUCGGGUCUGUAGUUGGGUCGGUUUGGCAGCCUCUCUCUCACUCUCUGUUACACGUGCAUAUGUUGCUCUGUUUUCCAGCUUCUUCUUUUGUUAACUUCUUAACCGCCUCUUUUAUUCAUUUUAAAAUUCACAUAUGUUAUAGUAAAAUUCAACCCAAAGACUUUAUUUAAAAUCUUUACAACAAAUACAAAUCUAUUAUUAAAAUAAAUAUAAUAAUUUAAAUUUUUUGUAUUAUUUUACAUAUAAAAAAUAAUUUAAUAUUAUUAGUCUACUAGAUAGAUUAUAUUAUUUAUAUUAAAUUUUAAUUAAAUAAAAAACUUCAAAGUCAAUUUCCUAAUUAAUAAAUUCAAAGGGUAUUAUGAUUAAAAAUGGGUCUUGAUGUCUCAUUUUAAAAACUUGAGAGUUUUUGUAAUUAUUUUCUCACACCUUAAGGGUAUAAUUAUCUUUUUUCCUCAAUAAUAUUAUAAAUUGAAAAAAUUCAUCCAUAGUUGUAUUAAUGUUGUAUCACUCGAACACAUCAAAGAUUUUAAGCGAUAAAUAAAACAACCAGAGUCAAACAAAAACUCAAUUUAGUGGUUUUCAAGCGUUCCAAUAACAAGAAGGACUAAAUAAUUUAGCUUAUAAUCGGGGAAAAUUUGAAAUAAAUUAACAAUAUCCCUUUUUAAUUGUAAUCUUCUGCUAUCUAGAUCAAUUGAUUGCACCUGCCUCAACAUCAGCAGAGACAAAGGGCAUUGGAGGGAUCUCCAAGCUUUGUAAAUCAGCUUCAAGCAUUUGUAACACAAUUGGCAUGGAAGGUCUCUCCGUGGGAUUCCAUUGAAUGCACCAAAUUGCCACAAUUGCAAGCUUUCUCGCAAUUCCCUCAUCCCCAUCUUCCUCAAAAUCCAAACAGAGCUCUUGUCCUAGCCUCAUUCUAUUGUAAAUCCACUCUGGAAAAUAUAUUUGGCUCUGAAUUUCAACCGCAGGAUCAUUAUUUUUUCUGCAUCCGACCAUCUCUAACAGCAUCAUUCCGUAACUGUAAACAUCAGACUUGUAAGAGAUCUCACCAAAAUUCCUGGAGAAAAGUUCAGGUGCAAUGUAGCCAGAAGUGCCUCUGGCAGCUGUCAGAGAUACAAUGCUUAUGUCCUUUGAGCACAACUUAGCCAGUCCAAAAUCUGAAAUCUUCGGUUGAAAAUUAUGGUCUAAUAAUAUAUUGUGAGGCUUGAUAUCGAAGUGCAGGAUCCUCUGGUUGCAUCCUUGGUGCAAGUACUCCACUCCACGGGCAACGCCAAAUGCAAUCUUCCUCAGCUUCUCCCAACUCAAUUGACGGUGACUUGAGCUAUUUGUCUUUGAGAAGAUGAAUUUCUCAAGUGAUCCAUUGGGCAUAAACUCGUAAAUAAGAGCGCGACGAUUCCCUUCAGAGCAAAAUCCCAGAAGCCGAACAAUGUGAAAGUGGUGAAUCCUGCCAAUUGUGGCCACUUCAUUGAUGAACUCUUGUCCAUUUCCUUUUAAAUGUUCCAACAUCUUGACAGCAACUGGAAUUCCGUUGAAGAGUUUUCCUCUGAACACACUUCCAUAACCUCCCUGGCCGAGCCUGUGCUUAAAUCUGCUUGUUAUUUUCUUCAGUUCUUUGUAAGUAUAUCUGGUAGGAUUGACGGUCCUGUAGUUUUCUAGGAACUUCUCCACCUUCAGUUGAGUCUCUUUUUCUUUUUCAGAUUCUCUUGAUCUGUAAAUAAGAAAUAUCACUAACGCAAAGAGGGUGAUGCCUCCAAUGCUUGUGCCUGUGGAUAUUAGACUUAUAGAUGAAGGGCCAGGACCAUCUGUUACAAUAAAAUGAGAUGCUAAAAGUUAGUUAAAAAAUCAACUCAAACAAUAAAAUGAGAUGCUAAAAGUUUGGACCCGUGCAAGCUUUACUUGGUAGCAUAAAGACUCAAUAUUAUUUUAUUGGGCUUUAACAAGUCCCUCUCAUGUGACCAUCUCAUAUAGGUAUUUGUCCAUAACUUAAAUGAGAAUUAUAUAUCUUAUUCACAUGGGUGGAUAGAUAAUUAGGUUGUCAUUUAACUAAAUAAUGAAAAAAAUACUAAUAAGCAGAAGAUGAAAUUAUUUGAACUGCAAAGUAAGCACUCUUUUACCUUGCACACUUCAAUUUUAAAAUUUUAACUUUUACUCAAGUACACAAUGAAAACACCAAAAUGAUCGCAAUUAGAAAUCCCUGUCAUUAUGCAUUUUUUUUGCCUUUCCGCAUUCACAAAAUGAUUUUUUUUUCCCCUCAUCUCUUAUUCCAUGUGAAUAUUGAGGGUCACUUGAUUAAACAAAAAUUUUUUCUCAACAAAUUUGCCAUCAUGAACGUAUAUUGGCUCUUACAUAAAAAGUUGACAAAGACAAUCAUAGAGAAAAAGUAUUAGUAUAAUAAUUCUUCUUAAUUUGUAUUCAUUGAGGACGCAAGAAAAUAUAAUAGAUUAAACUUUUAUCAGGCAUUGUGAGUUUAAUCAAUCUCUCACCAUUAACGAAAAUUAAUUGUAAUAUAAAGAUUCAAGAUUAAGGUAGUAUUUACUUGCUGGAGUGGGAGUGUGGAGUGUGGAUUCCUCCCACUCCAGUGUUUAUUUACCUUAAAAAAGGGGGAGUGGGAGUGGGAAUCCGUGGGUCCCACUCAAUUUUGGAGUGAAGAGUGGGAUUCACACUCCCAUGGGGGGAGGUGGGAGUGGGAAUCCACUCCCCCCUCUUCNNNNNNNNNNNNNNNNNNNNNNNNNNNNNNNNNNNNNNNNNNNNNNNNNNNNNNNNNNNNNNCCGAAUAUAUAAGUUCACUUUUAAAAAAAAUAACUGCUGUACGGCCAAGGCGGAUGUACGGUACAGCAGAAAUGAAUUUUAAAUCUUUAACUACCUCAAUGAGCCAAAUUUUAUUAUCCACUAAUCACUUUUAAUCUAUUUAUCAAAAGUAAUCAAUCCUUCUCAAACUUUCUUUCUUUUUUUUUAAUUUACUCCUAAGUCACAAAUAUAUCAUAAUAUGAGGAAGCAGUGUUUAUACAACAGAACCCAAUUAUUAUAAACACCCAAAAAAAAAAAAAGGACAGUGAGAGAUAGAAAACAAAAAAAGAUGGAAAAUUUACAGCAAUAAAAGAACCCCAAAGAGCCCCAAAAAAAUUCUCUAAAAAAUAUUAAAAAAACUGCUGUACGGCCAAGGCGGAUGUACGGUACAGCAGAAUUACAAAUUAUAAUUCUGUACAUAAGGAUAAAAUUAUAAUUUAAAAUAAUUUACUCCCAAUCCAAGAUAAAGUAAACAAAUAAUUGGAAUUCUGAUUGAUAAUCCAUACUUUCAUUUAGUCUAACUAAACACCAUACUCCCACUCCCACUCCACACUCCUAAUCUAAAGAUUCUCACUCCAAUCCAAAAAGUAAACGCAACAUAAAUUGACGAGAUAGAGAAAAUUAGUACUAUCUAUUUGGUCCUGAGUAGUAUCAGUUUUUCUUCAAGCAGUCAAAUCAGCCAGGCUAGCAACAUUUUAUCGAGCACUCUACAACCGGCAAUAAUACUGGAAAGCAGCCUUUAUAGCAAUGAUAUUCGCCAUACAGAUUAGGGGUGGGUAAAAUUGUAAUUGCAGCCAAAAAAACAAAUCGUCAGUUUUUUUUGUUUUGUAAAAAAAAAUCCAUCGAUAAAUUUUUUGGUGAUUUCACUUCACAAGCCCAGUGCCCACCCCUAUUAAUAUAGAUGGCUUCUUUAAUUUUUAACUUUUAGCAAUUGUAAUUACACUUUUACAAUUGAAAAAAUAAUGCAAAGCCUAAUUAUUAUUAUUUUUUCUUUUCAUUUACACUGCUCUGAUAAAUUUUCCGGCAUAUAUAACAAUGAUAAUAAAUUCAACUUAUUUUUUUUAUUGUUAGCUAAAUAGAGACGAUGCUUUCACUUUCAAGCACUGUAGAGAGAGGUGACUGAGAAAAGAUAUGGUUACUUACGUUUUUGGUGUUUAACGGCAACGCAGAUUGUCGAAUUGCUUGUAGUGUUGAACCCACAAUAAUUCCCUGAAUUUUCGCAGUCGUAGCAUCCAUCAAGAGCUUCCCAUCCUAAGACUACUGGUCUUGCCCUCGCCGUCGUUGCAAUAUCCUGCAGAGGUAAUCCACCAGGAAUCUCAACUGUUCCAGAUUUUCUGCAAGAUGGAGGCAUAUCCUCCACUGAAGAUUCGCUAUCUAUGGUAUAGACAAGAUUGUUUUCAUUGCUAAGAAAAUUGAUCAGUCCAAUUAGUCCAUAUGAAGUCCAUCCUGGGGAAACCUUCUCGGUGCAGUUAUAUAAAGCGUAACUUUCAUUAGAGUGAAGAAAAAAGAAUUUGGAGUUUGUGAGGUUGAAAGAGAUAAGACUUUGAAACGGGCAUGCUGUCUCAUUCACAUCUGUAAUGGUAAUACUGCUGUCCAGAUAAGAAAUUUUAUGGACAUAAUAAUCACCGGAGGAAGGAAAAUGCAAGAUUGUCUUGUCACUUAAGCAUGACAAUUCAAACCCUUCAAGGCCACAAUAUGUUGGUUGAGCUUUGAGUCUGAAGGGAUAUCUGAUCCUUGGGCUCUUAUUACUGCAUCUUGUUGGUUGACAGAAUUCAUAUUUAUCUGUCUUGUUGUCUUCCGCAGAAGCUUUGGCUAAUGUACAUGUGUAAAGUAGGAAGAGGAAGAGGAUUAUUAAACUCAUCACGAGGGACAUGGAGGGAGAGGGAGAGCGGAGUUUGAGUUAGAGCAGAGUUUGAGUUAUGCUUUUGGAGUAAUAAGGGAGAGGAGAGUUUGAUUGUCAGUUUGUCAUGGAAAAAGGUAGGAAAAUGGAUUUUUUUUAAUUUCUUCUGUUCUUUCCUUCUUUCUUUUCUCCUUUUUCUAAGUCAAUGGUAGCUCCAAAGAGACUAGUCAACUUCAAUAUCUGCCAAUAUCAGAUGCAUGGAGGAACAUGAUGAGACUUGCUGUUUGUGAUAUAGAUUUUAGUGAGAGUUGUGAAAGUAAUUUGUAGGUAAAGAAAUGAGAAAAUUAUGUUUUUAAGAUCAGUAAGUAAUGUUCUUUAGAAAACGGGUAAUUCCGAGCAGCUACCAUCCGCUUACCAUGAUAUAUCAGUGGGAGACUAAGGGUGUGUUUAGGAUUGAUGGGAACUAUGUGUCUUUGAAUUCAUCACUGUUGUGAGAUGAAAUUAUUAUCUAUUAAGUAAAAGUGGAUGUGUGGUGAUAGCUAGGUGUCUACGAUAUACUUUGGUAAUUGUACUUUAAAUUAAGUUCAGCAAGACCAGAGAGUUCAAAGCAUACUCUAGCUCAAUCAGAGAUGCAGCAAGCAGCGUUUCAAUAGUUUGACAAAUGUACAUUAUCACAUGACAAACGUACAUCAUAUUCUAGUCGAUAUGAGCAAAAUUGAAAUAUUCACAUCGAACAAUGAAUCGUACUGAAAAUUUUCAACAUAAUAUUAUAGAAGCUUUGGUAGCAUAAGGACAAUUUAUUUCUUUUUUACAUAUAUCAUUGCCAAAACUAAGCAUAACUAUCAUUGAAAGAACAUUCCUCAAUCGAUUCAGGCACUAACAACUCUGUUGAAGAAUCUGAUUCAAUCUCUCUUCCGGAGAUAUGUCGAGAAGAAGAGAAGAAAGGUUUCGGAGGCAUUUGCAAAUCGUCGAUACUCCCUUCUAACAUUUCCAAAACUUUUGUCAUGGAGGGGCGAUCAGCUGGCUUCACCUGAAUACACCAUAAACCAAUCACACACAGUUUCCUUGCAAUCAUGGACUCGAUUUCAGUCACAUUCCGAAGCUCUAAAUUACCUCCCUUAUUUAAUUGGUCAGAUACCCAAGAUGGGAAAUAUGCUUUGCUUGAACGAGUUGCUUUCAAAUUAGAAUUCCUUCUUCCUCCAGUCAUUUCCAACAACACCAUCCCAAAACCGUAAACAUCUGACUUGCAAGAAACAGUUCCAAAAUUCCUUGAAAUCAGCUCAGGGGCUAUGUAUCCUAUGGUUCCUCUUGUGGCACUGAUGGACACAAAAUCAUUUUCCUUUGGAUGAAACUUUGCAAGGCCGAAAUCUGAGACGUUUGGGACAAAAUUAUGAUCUAGCAGGAUGUUGUGAGGCUUAAUGUCGAGAUGAAGAAUGCAGACAUCACAUCCGUUGUGUAAAUACUCGAUCCCAUGGGCAGUUCCUGAAGCAACUUCGUGGAGUUUCUCCCAACUACAAGAUUGGCCUCUACUUUCCUUAGGAAAGAUAUGCCUAUCGAG
rnacentral:lncRNA from 1 species